ACUGUUAGACAUUCAUUUUUUGUCAUAUAUUGGGCAAAAUCAUGCACUAUAUCAUGCAUCUUGAAUCUCAUUCCUUCACGAUCACUCUUCUCAAAAUCUUGGAAGAAAGAGCGCGUUGCUAAGACUUGAAAGUACUGCUCUCCUACAAGCUCCAUAUCUCCACCUGAAGUCUCCUUGAGGUAACCUUGAGCCAUCCACAUCUUCACCAAUUCAUCUUUGUCCAUCUCGUAGUCUUUUGGAAACAUGGCACAAUACAAGAAACAUCGUCUUACCACAGAAGGUAAAUCGUAGUAACUCAAAAGCAAAGGUGGAAAUAGUCCUCUUUCAACAUGUUCUAGCUCCCACAGUUCGCUAGAUAAAACAUGUUCCCACUCUUCUCUUGUUCUUUUAGACUGCAUUAGACCUCCUAAUACCUUGGCAGCUAGAGGCAAGCCCUUGCACUUGCUUGCAAUUUUGUCGCCGAUUUCUGUCAAUCUUUCGCACUCAUCUUUGCUUCUUUUAUGGAAUGCCACCUGAUUGAAUAUUGACCUGCAUACCUCAUCAGACAAUUUCUCAAGGUUGAUCACGUGGUCAGUUCCUAUCAUGGUUGCCACAGAAUGUUUACGACUGGUCACUAGAAUUCUGCUUCCUGUUGCACCGCCUUUGAGAGAUAGUUUCAGUGGUUCCCAUUGUCUAUGAUUUUCUGUCCAGACAUCAUCUAGGACAAGAAGGAACCUCUUUCCCUUAAUUGAUUCAGAAACACUUUGCAAAAGGGAUUCCAAUUCAACUAAAUUCGGUGCACCCCCUUGAAGCGCCUCAAGGAUAGCUUUUGAUAUCCUAACCUCAUCGAAUGGAUCUGAUACACACACCCAUAUCUUUUUCUCAAAAUGAGCCGUAACCCGAGCAUCAUUAAAAGCUAGUUGGGCGAGAGUUGUCUUUCCAAUCCCGCCCAUUCCUACUAUAGAGAUCUCCACGUCCCCUGCUUCCUGAAUACUUUCGCCCAGCAACUUGCUUACUACAGCUUCCCUUUCAUCAUCUCGACCACGCACGAUUGAUUCAUCAACAAGGGAGGUACUUGUUAUUCGUUGUAGUUCAUCAGUGGCUCUGUACAACUCAAAGCCAAACAUAGCUCUCUCUUUGGUAAUCUCAUCCACUUUUUCACAUACUUCUUUGAUCUUGAGGGCAAUGUCGCGACGUCGAGCCACUUGAUUGAAACAAAAGCAAGGAGAUCCCAGGAAGGAACAUCGCAUCUUCUGUAGGCUGCGAGUAUUUUCUUCAACUUCCUCCAUUUUCCAUCUAAGAAUUGCAGUGCUCCAUUCAUCUAGCACGUCAUCCAUAUCAUAGCAUACAUCUUUGAGCUUGUCUGCCCAAUCCCUUACAGCCUUAUCCUUCACUUGUUUUCUAUCUGCAUCUUCAAGGACAGAUUGGAUAGCAAGGAGAUUGCUUUUCAGCUUGUCGACUUGUUUCUGCACACCCCCUACUAGGUUCACUUCUUCCUGUACCUAUUGGUGUAGAAAAGACCAGAAAGUUCAAGCAGAGGAAACAGUUCUAUGAUUUCACUACAAGUUUUUAAUUUUAAUUUUUGGGAAUUAAUAGAUUAAAUAAUUUUUAUUAAUCUUUUUUCCGCAUAGUUCACACGUACAGUGAAUUGGAUUGGCUAUAUUAUAAAUUCAUAUAUAAAAUAUUUAUUAAGAACCUAUAUAUUAAAAAUAAUAAUAUUUCUUUUUAUCAUCAUCAUGAUGAUAUCUCUGUCUGCACUCUGCUACUAUACAAGAAAGGAAAAAAAUGAAUCUUAAAUUGUUCGACGUCAAACCUGUAUAUAACAUAAGCUUGGCGGAUCAAAGAAAUAUAAAAGGAAUAAAAGGAAAGUGAAUAAAAGGAUCUGUAUUUGUUGUUAUUUGUAAAGUCUAUAAUAAGAUUAUGGAAGAAAAAAAAGACUUAAAUUUUUAUAUUUCUUAUCAUGUUACGGUUAAUUCGAUCAUUGCAAAUUGUAUAAAAGUAAUUACCUGUUGAGCAACGACCGUGGUUAACUGCUCCAAAAUUGGCGAUAAAAGUGCCUCUGCCAUUUGUCUUUUUGGUUUAAUUUUAUUUUUAAAAAAGAGAUAAUUAUGAUGAUGAACUGAGAGAGAGAGAGAAGAGUGUGAGGGGAAGGAGGCUGCUGGUUGUGAAAUGAAGAGAGAGGGUUAGUUUAUGUACUUGGGGUUUGGUGAUGAGGGUUGACUAUUGUUUCCAUCCCUGUACUGUUUCUAACAUUUCAAUUCAGUCCCUGUAUUAUUGAACGUUUCAGUCUAGUCUCGGUCAGGGGUUUCCAUCUGCGGAUGGCUUUUCCUGAUUGUAUGUUUCUACUGAGAAUGACAUGCCAUUUUGAGUUCCAAAGGUGAAACACUCGUGCUUUUCUAACUUUUCCUGGCUAAGGAUUAUUAUUUGUGGAAAGUAAUUUCUUCUUCGAUUUAUAGCAAUUAUUUUGGAUUGAUACUGACCUUAGGUUAAGAAUGCUGUAGUUUCUACUGAAAUGUAUCUGAUACAGACCUUAGGGACAACUGAUUAUAGCAUUCUUCUCGUCUGCUUCUCUAUUUCUUCUCUUCAUUUUAUGUUAUUCCACUAGUCUUCCAAACUGGAUCACGGUGAUAUAUAUCUGUCCAUCCAAACUAAUUUACCCAAACCAAAAGUAGUAACCAAUUAGCUCGUGUAAUGGAACUAUAAACAAGCAUCUAUCUUUCUGGGUUUUUGAGAUCAGGUGAUUUUAUCCUGUUUUCAUAGCAGGGACUGGGGUUUGAUAUUGAUCUUUGAUUUUACCCAAACCAAAAGUUUGAAAGGAUUGCUGGUUUGUGUGAUUGGAGCUCCUUUCAAUGGGUGUGAAAAGGCCAAGAAAUGAGCAAGAUUUUCUGGAGGAAAGGAUUCAUAUUGUCUGGACUCAAUCACCUUCCUUUCUUCUUCUUCUUCUUUCUGCAGGAAAAAAGUAGAGCAGAGCAACCCUUUUUGACAGAGGCUAGUAAGUUGCAGAAGUUAGUAAGAAGUGGAUCAUUGAGCAACCAAAUAGCCAAGAUGUCUUAUUUCAAACCCAAGUACAGAUGAAUGCCGUAUUUUUAUUUUUCUAAGGAACUGCAUAUUUGUCCCCCCACUUCUUCUUUUUCUGUUGAAACAGCGACAGGGUACGUGUACUCUAGAAAAUAUUUAGAAUGGAAACAAAUAGAAAGUAGCUUAAAAUUGUGAAAAUAUUGUUUUUAAAUUGUUUAUUUCAAACCUAAUUAAUAAUAUGUUUUUGUUUUAGAUAGUUUUUGUGAUUCUGAUUUGAAAAAAAAUAAGUUUUAAAAAAGUACAGCUAGCUGUGAUUAAUUGAAUUUAAAUACGUGUUUAAUAAAAAUUAUGGUUAAAGUUUAUGUAUAAUAAAAAAUAUGUAUAAAAUAUUUGAUAGUUAUGUUUGAGACUGUGGUUGUGAUUGUUUUUUAAAGUGUUUUUUACAUUAAAAUAAUAUUUUUUUAUUUUAAAAAAAUUAUUUUUGAUAUCAGUGCAUCAAAAUGAUCUGAAAACACCAAAAAAAUAUAUUAAUUUGAAAUAAAAAAAAAUUGUUUUUUACCAGUAAAUCAAAGUGUUUUUUACCUCAUUUUUCCUUGAUUAAUUCUAACUACGAAACAGCUACUGCACCAACAAGAUGGAAAAGGCUCACCAAGAUGUUCUCUUUGAAAAGAUUCUCAAUGAGUCGUUGACAUCUCAUACUUGUCUAAAAAUUUUAAUCUUUUUUUGGAAAAGAUUCUCAGUGAGUCUGUCUCCUGGCUUAUUGAUCAACACUUUUAUCAUAUUGUGAACAAACAUGUCAAUUUCCAGAAUUUUAUUGAGUAGGAUGACUGUAUAGAAUUACUCUGAUUUAUCAACACAUAUCAAAUUCUUGCUGCUGCUGAGGAAGAUAUCCUGCACUUAGCCAUCAUAGAGGGUAGCAAGGUUUUGUGUUGAUGGUAAUUACACUGACUCAUCGUCUAUCAUCUAGAAUUCAAUUUUAAAAAAUAUUGCAAGAAAUGUUUUUUUUCCUAAAUACAUCGAUCGGGUGUGGAUAGAUUGAUUACAAAGCGACUUCCUAAAAAGUCUUGGUCUUAAUAUGCAAAGAUGAUCCAAGUAUGCCAUAUAUUAUUUUUUUAAAAUAAAACCCACAUAUCUAGUCCACGCAAAGGUACUCGAAUAUGGAUUUGUAAAAAUAAAAAUGAAUAUUUAUACGAAAUUGAAUUGUGCAAAUAAAACCCACAGAUCUAGUCCAUGAUCUACGGCUCCUCCAGAGUUCCGUAGUGGUGUCUUUCUCAACUAUUCUUUAAAUAAAAUGUUUGGGAUGUGAGAAAUCUUGUGCCUAUCUUCACCCCUCUCCUCCUUCCCGUAACGUUUCCUUAGAGAAUUUAUGUAGAGGCGCUGUCAAAACAUAGGCCGGUAGUGCUCUCAACAAUGGGCAUUUGAGAAUUCUAAACUCACAAGUUGUGGCAUGAUGAAUAUUGAAGUCGUGGUGGAAUCUUCUUCUCCCACUCUCCUUUCAAUCCCAUCCCACUCUUCUAGUUCUUUGAGAUGCCAAAUGCUGAGUUUUUUCAAUUUAGGGAAAGGAGAGUGGUAGUUUUUUCAAUUGGGGCAAUACUCUUCCAAUUCUCUUUCACUAAUAUUUAUUGGUGGAAAAAAUCACUGAUAGUAGUUUUAAAACACUCAAAGAAAAUAAAACAUAUUGUUUUAUUUCAACAACAAGAAGCUUACAAUAAUUAAACAAAAGCUUUUAAUACACACCCUCUUUUUCUCUCUAGUGUUCAUCUCUUAUCUUUCCCACACACAAUUACAUAAACUUACCUAUCUAUUUAUACACAAAUUAAAAGUAAAAAAAAAAAAAUCAAACUUCAAGUGUGAAGGCGGCUGGUGGCUAAACAGUGGGGUCCUUUUGUAUUUUGUCAAAAGAGAUGAAAUUAUAAUCAAUGAUGAUGAUAUAUAUAUAUAUAUAUAUAUAUAUAUAUAUAUAUAUAUAUAAACUACUAUGUGCAUUCUAUAAUUUAGUUAUAUAAUACAAUAGAUCUUUACAAUUAGUGAUUUCAACUUACCAAUAGAGAAAUUAUAGUAGAUCUUUACUAUGAUAUAUUCAAAAUAAAUAAAUAAAACAGGUAUACUUCAACACGCAUAUUAUACAUACACUUCUUUUUUAAAAAUUAAUCAUAAAAAAUUGAUUAGUUAUUUAUUAUAAAAAUCAGACCUGUAAGUUAUAUCUAAAUCAUUGAAAAUAGUAAAGGUAAACUAAUUAGAAGAGACAAUGUAUUUCAAAUUAGUUAAUUUAUAUAGAAUUAUUUUAGUUACUAAAUUAAAAAAUUCAAAUUUUUAUAUCACUUGGAAUACAUAAGGUGGAUUUAAUCCACAAAAUCGAUGGGUGAUAACCUCUAAGAUAUCGAUGGGUACAUAUAUGGUGGAUUUAAUCCACAAAAUCAAUAAGAGACCAAUCGGCUAGCUCCAAAAUCAAACCAUCUCCACCUCAUUCAAACACGAUUUAAAAUAAUCAACACCACCUUUUUAUACAAUGUGGGAUUAAUGAGGAUAUAAAUCCAAGGCUCCAACAUCCAAAGUCUCAAUCUUAGAUUUAUUAGCUAGUAUAGCAACGCCUCAUUGGCAAGAACCCAAAUCACUAAGCUCAAAUUACUAAUAAAAAUUAUAAAUUUUCAGAUAAUAUUUUUAAUAUUUAAUCUUUCUAGCAAUUGAUGAUAGCAAUUGCAAAUGAAUAGAGGAGGAAGCAUCGAGAUCAUUGGCUUGUUUGAAGGCAAAUGGACCCUUUGAUCGUUAGAUGAUGCAUCUAAAUGAGGCUCCACAUUAUAAAAGCGUAAUUAGGUGGCACGCGCUAUCCCACAAACUCACCUUAGAUUUUCAAAAUAAAAUUAGAUGGAGGAUCCAUGUCUAUUUGGGUCCUCCCUAGACAGGACCCCAACAUAUUCGGGUCCAGUAACGACCAGGUCCAAGUCUAGCGUUGGGCUAGGUUGGGUAGGACCCAAGGUUAUUUGGGUGUACCUGGCAGAAUCCAAGAUUGUUUUUGAGUCCUGCAACUAAUAAUUAUAUGUAAUUUCUAAAUGAAACUAAAUGUAAAAUUAAAUAUAAUUUGAUAAAAUUAUUAUAAACAUUUGGUAAAAUUAGUAAAUGAUAUAACAUUUUCUUUCAAAUUCAUCAAUUAUUUAAAUAUUAAGUACAAAAAAUACUCUUAUGAAUUUUGAUAAAAAUAAUAAUAUUUAUAAUACAACUGAUAACAUUUUUAGUAUUAAAUUAUUAAUUAAUAUAAAUAAUAUUAUUUAUAACACCAAAAAUAAUAAUAUUUUUGAGAUUAAUACUAUUAAUUAGACUAAAAAAUAAUAUUAAUAAAACAAAUAAUAAUAUUUCUAAUACUAAUACUAUUAAUUAUACUAAAAAUAUAUAUUAAUAAAAAUAUAAAAUACUCUUAAUAUUAAUUAUACUAAAAAAAUAUUAAUAAAACAAAUAAAUAUUUUAAUACUAACUUGUAAUUAUACUAAAAAUAUGGGCAGCCCAAGCGCUAAGUGAUGCUUGGACUACACUCAAGAGAAAUCAUAUUAUUUUAAAAUAUUUGUCCACUAAUUGCUAUUGAAUUUAAAAUAAAUAUACUUUUAAAACUAAUAUAAAGUUACCAAUAGUCGAUUUGAUAGCUGCUUGCAUAAAAUCUCAUUGAAUUUGGCCAAUGGUUUUUUAGAAUAAAGUAAAAAAAAAGUUAUUUCAAAACAUAACCAAAGUAGUUUUAGUUAUUUGUCAGAAACUAGUAUAUCCCAUAAAAAUCAGAGUUUUGGAUGAAAUAAAAUCAAUUCUAAAAUCAAACGCCGAUUGAAGCUUCAACGCAUUUGUGAACUAGAGAAUUUAAUUAUUAAACUCGUUUGUUUCGCGUUCAAAAAUAUUUUAAAAUUAUUUUAUUUUUUAUUUAUUUUUUUGUUUUUUAAAUUAAUAAUUUUUUUAGUAUAUUUAGAUCAUUUUAAUGUGUUUAUAUAAAAAAUAAUUUAUAAAAAAUAAAAAAAAUUAUUAUUUUAAUAUAUUUCUAAUAAAAAAUACUUUGAAAAAUAAUUAUAAUAAUACUGUCACACAUGCUGUUUAAUGUUUGUUCAAAAAUUGUGCUUUUUAAAAUAUGCAUUCUAACGCAAAGAAAGCAUAUAAAACACAUCAAAGUUGCAAAAGUACGUAGUUUUAAUUAUUAGCAAAAGUAUUCUAAAAUAUGAAAAGAUAGGUUUAAAUACCCUAAAUAUCCGUAAAUAACUAGAAAAAAAUUAAUAAAACUAAAAUCCAAAAUUAUCAAGGCAAAAAUCUAAAAUAUGGUCUGAAACUUCAAAGGCAAUUUUUUUAGAGUGGCAUUUGGAGAAUUUAAGUAAGGAAAAAGCUUCACGUGAGCGAGAUAAUAUCAUCUUAGAUUAAUUCUUUAACAUGUAAAAUUUAAGUCUAAUUCAAUAAUUAAAUAAAAAAUUACCUCUUCCUGCCGGUCUUAACUAUUCUUUAAAUAUAAACAUAUGAAUUACAUAUUAUUUUAUAUAUGUUGAGAGAGAGAGAGAGAGAGAGAGAGGAUGUAUACUAUAUAUAUCACAGCUGCCUUUGAUAGAAUAAAUGGUAAGUAGGAAAUACAAUCCAAAGUCAACAUUAUACAGUAAAGAGGUAUAUGAAACAUACCUCGUCCUGCCUGUCCUACAGAUUAUGGUAAGUCGGAAAUCGAAUUACAGUAAAGAGGUCACAUAGAGUAAAUAGUAAGGCUUACAUAUUAUUUACACUCAACCUUAGCAAACACCAAAGCAAAUAAUUAAUACACUCAGAACCAAAUCUUUUACCGUUAAGAAUUAACACUGGUGGAAGAAUUUAUCAUCAAAAUAAAUGUUUGGGAUGUGAGAAAUCUUUUGCCAAUCUUCACCCAUCUCCACCUCCUUCCCGUAACGUUAGAUUGGGGCAACCAUAUGCGUAGAUCCUGUAUAGGCGCUGCCAAAACAUAGUCUGGUAGUGCUCUCAACAACGGGCACCAACGAAUUGUCAACUGUCGAAGUUGUGGCAUAAUGGAUAUUAUUGAAGUUGUGUUGGCAUCUUCUUCUCCCACUCUCCUUUGAAUUCCAUCCCACUCUUCUACUUCUUCGAGAUCCCAAAUCUCAAGUUUUUUAAUUUGGGGAAAGCAGUGACCCUUGCAAUUUCUCCUUCCUUAAUACUGGCAUUCUCAUCUUUUUCUAUACCUAAAAAUCCACCAUCCAGCCUUCUCACCUUCAAAAGUACCAGGUGUUCAAGGUUGGGCAAUCUUCCCAACGGAGGCAAGAACUCCACGUUUUCACAAUAACGGAGUGUCAGCACCUGUAAUCUGGUCAAUGUCAUCAUCCAAUUUGGCAAUUCCAACCCUCCGUAACAAUAUAUGCUUAGAUCUUCCAAGUCUGACGGAGGCUGCAAAGCUUCAAUUAAAGAGCCUUCAUGCUCUGGCAACACUGUUUUCUCUCCGAAGAAAUUCAAUACCAAACGAAACAGGCGCUUCUUAUUCUUGAGUUGUGCUUCUGCAGCGUCACUCGCAUCUUCUUUACCUCCUCCUAGAUUCCGUAUCUGAAGACUCCCUCCAAUGUGAUUUAAGUUUUUUAAUUCUCUUAGAUUAGCUGCUUUACUUUCAUUCUCACCACCACCACACACAGUAAACACAUCUAAUGUACCAACAGGUGUGUGGCUCAAGUGGUGAAGGGGGCAGCUCUCCUUUCAUCGAACCCAGGUUCGAAUCCCAGUGGGAGUGGGGCUGGAGAGUUUGCUCUCUUCCUAUUUCUCUUGGGUCCUCCCUGUGCGGUAUCCCUGUCACCCCCGCGGUGUCUUACCUGCUCACUAGGGCUUGCAGGAUGUUCAGUGGGCCGUGGGAUUAGUCGUGGUGCGCGUAAGCUGGCCCGGACACCCACGUUAUCAAAAAAAAAAAAAAAAAAAAAAAAACACAUCUAAUGUUUAGUUAUAUAAUUGAUCAUCGUGGCUACAAAAUGAAGUGGAACUAAUAAUUAAUGGAGUGGAAUACUAAAUAAAAUGAAUUGCUAUGUGUAUUCUAUAAUUUAGUUAUAUAAUAUAGGCAGAUAUGUACAAAUUAGUCAUUUCAACUUAUCAAUAAAGAAAUUAUAAUAGAUUUUCACCGUGGUAUGAUCGCAAUAAAUAAAAUAAAAUAGAUAUAUCUCACAGCAUUAAUAAUUUUUUAGUUUUUGUUAAACAAUGUCAACAUAUAUAUAUAUAUUAUACAUACACUCAUUUCUUUAAAAAUAAUUAUAAUAAAAUUAAUUAGUUAUUUAUUAUAAAAACCUGACCUAUGAGUUAUGUCUAAGCUGUUAAAAAUAGUAAAAAUAAAAUAAUUUGAAAAUAGAAUUAUUAAUUAAUUUAUAUCAAGUUGUUUUAUUUAUUAAAUUAAAAAAUCCAAGUUUUAUAUCACCUAGAUUACUUAUGUUGGAUUUAAUCCAUAAAAUUGAUGGGUAUCAUCUCUUAUAUAUGAAUCGAUGGGUAUCAAGUUACAUGCCAUCUUGCAAAUUAGAAUAAUAGACCACUCGACUGGCUCCAAAAUCAAACCAUCUCCACCUCAUUCAACACGAUUUAAAAUAAUCAACACCACCUUUUUAUACAAUGUGGGAUUGAUGAGGAUAUAAAUCUACAGACUCCAACAUCCAAAGUCUCAAUCUUAGAGUUCUUAUCUGGUAUAGUAACGCCUCAUUGGCAAUAACCCAAAUCACUAAACCCUAAAUCACUAAUAAAAAUUACAAAUUUACACCGAAUUUGAACAAAUUUCUACCAGCCGAUGUCACUAAACUCAAAUUACUCCUAAAAAUCUCAAUAUAAACCCAUUAACUACUAGACCAACAACUCAUUGGCUAGAAUCCACGUUGCUUUUCCACAACAAUCAUCAGCUUCUUCAAUUAGGAUGCUACAAGCCCUUGUCUAUAUACUAGCUUAAAUUGCAACAACCUUUGAUUCCGAGAGAAGUUUGGCCUGAUCCAACGGUAGUCAAUGCGUGCUCAAUCUGUACUAGCUUUCUGGUAGGACUGAAAGUAGUGAGAGAAAAGGAGUACUGGCUAUCACCCAUGGUUUAUUGCUUGAAGACGCAGAGAGGAAAAACUGCGAAUGCGAGCGUGUGGGAGAGAAAGGCAAGGAUAUUUACUUGGGGUUUGAACUUUGCUUUUCUUGUUGGAGAAGGAGGAGUUUUCUUACGAGGGCUUUUACAAUGGAGUAUUUUGGGCUUUUAUGACGGCAGGUUGGUUCUCUUUACAUUGAGCUCAAUGAAGGCUUUAAUUUUUUAAACUUAACUUUAUCCGGGUCAGUUCACGGGAGAAGUUUAAUUUUUUUUUUUUUAAGAAAAUAAAAUAACAUUAUUUUUAGUACUUUUUUAAAAUGAUAUUUUACCUGAGUCCACAGGCGAUGUAUAAAGUUUUUUUUAUUUAAAAUAAUAUUUUUUUUUUAUUUUAAUAUUUACUUACUAUUUGUAUACUAAAACAGUAAAACAUGUGAGAUUUUCACUUUAUAUUUGUUACUGUGCAAAAUUUUAUUUUUUAGUUUAGUCCUCAAACUUUAUUUUUGAACUAUCAAGUCCUAUUUAAAAAACAAUUGAUUUUAAAUUCUGAUAAAAAAUUUGGAUUGGAAGAGAGGAACUGAAAUGAAAAACACGAUAGAUAUGGGUAACGCACCUUAAAUUUUUAAAACAUUCUCUUUGGUCUUCCAACUUAAACAAUCACACAAAUUAUAUAAUUUUGGUACCUCAAAAUUGUUCCAAUUCCAUUUUGGUGCGAAGAUUUAUUUUUGUUAUUUUCUAGUUCCUAAUUAAGAGAGGAGAGAAAGAAAGGGGUCACUAGAUUCCAAUAAUAAAAAGAGAAACUUGUCGUUGACACCAACUUAAACCACUAAAAUAAGGGAUCUUUAUGUCAAAUUAUUAGGGGAGUUCCUAUUAGAUGUUUUUGUAACUUAAAAGUUCAUGAAAAAAAGGAUCUAAACUCGGGUUAAUUUUUUUUAUUUUAGACUGUGUUUGGUUUUUUAGGCAGUUUUUUGGAUCUAGUAUGGUUUCCCGAUCCAAGUACCUAGGGUCUGGCAUAGUUGCUAUAAAAAUAUAACUUUAAAGAAUAUAAUUAAAAACAAAUAAAGUGACGUGAUUAGUUAAAAACUAAAAAUAAUAAUAAAAAAAAAGACUUAACCUCAUUUUUUUGUUGUUCAGAAGGCUUCUUUUAAAUAAUAUUAAUUUUUUUUAUGAGUUUAAUUUUCAGAGAGGUUUUCUAGUGUAUUUAUGGUUUUGUUUGUCUUUUAUAUAAAUAAAUUAUAUUUUGAAAAUAACAAAAUAUUUAUUUUCAGAUAAUAUUUUUAAUAUGUAGUCUUCGUAGUGAUUGAUGAUGCCAAUUGUAAAUGAAUGGAGGAGGAAGCAUCAAGAUCGUUAGCUUGUUUGAAGGCAGAUAGACCUUUGAUCAUUAGAUGAUGCCUCUAAACGAGGCUCCAUAUUAUAAAGGCAUAACAAAGAGAGGAUGAGAGAAAUAAUUAUAGACCAGUUAGGUGGUUUGUGCUACAUCGCGGGCUCACCUUUAAUUUCUAAAAUAAAACUGGGUGAGUACCCAAGUCUAUUUAGGUCCUUUUCAAAUAGGAGCCAAGCAUAUUUGGGUUCUAUCGCGGCCAAGCCAGGUAGGACCUAAGGUUAUUUGGGUCAUGUACCUGGCAGGACCCAAGGUUAUUUUUGAGUCCUACAACUAAUAAUUUGUAUUUAAUUUUUAAAUAAAACUAAAUGUAAAAUUAAGUAUAAUUUGAUAAAAUUAUUAUUACAAUACAUUUGGUAAAAUUAAUAAAUGAUAUAACAUUUUCUUUCAAAUUCAUAAAUUAUUUUAUUAAUAAUAUUAAUUACAAUAAAAUAUACUCUUAUAAAUUUUAAUAAAAAUAAUAAUAUUUAUAAUACAACUGAUAAAAUUUUUAGUAUUAAUAUUAUUAAUUAAUAUAAACAUAAUAUUAUUUAUAACACCAAAAAUAAUAAUAUUUUUGAGAUUAAUACUAUAAAUUAGACUAAAAAAUAAUAGUAAUAAAACAAAUAAUAAUAUUUUUAAUACUAAUACUCUUAAUAUUAAUUAUACUAAAAAAAACUAUUAAUAAAAAAAAUAAUAUUUCUAAUACUAAUAUUUGGAAUUAUACUAAAAGUAUGUACGGGCAGCCCAAGCGUUAAGUGGCGCUUGAACUGCACUCAAGAAAAAGCAUAUUAUUUUAAAAUAUUAUUUGUCCACUAAUUGCUAAUAUAAAUACACUUUUAAAACUAAUAUAAAGUCACCCAGAGUCAAUUUGAUAGCUGCUUGCAUAAAAUCUCAUUGAAUGUGGCCAAUGUUUUUUAGAAUAAAGUGAAAUAAAAAGUUAUUUCAAAACAUAACCACAGUAGUUUUUAAUUAUUGGUCUAGAAACUUUAGUAUAUCUCAUAAAAUCCAUGAGUUUUGGAUGAAAUAAAAUCAAUUCUAAAAUCAAACUCCGAUUGAAGCUUCAACUGCAUUUGUGAGCUAGAAAAUUUAACUUAUUAAGUUAGGUUUGUUUUUGCAUUUUAAAAGCGUUUUUAAAAAUUUUAAAUUUAUUUUAUUUUUUUCUUUGCUUUAAAUUAUUUUUUUUUUGUGUUUUUAGAUCAUUUUGAUGCGCGAAUAUCAAAAAUAAUUUUUAAAAAAUAAAAAAAAUAUUAUUUUGAUAUAUUUCUAAGUAAAAAUCAUUUUAAAAAGUAAUCACAACAAUAUUUUCACACAAUCUCUUCAAAACUUGUGCUUUUUAAAACAUGCAUUCAAACGCAAAGAAAGCAUAUAAAACACAUCAAAGUUGCAAAAGUAUGUAGUUUUAAUUAUUAGCAAAAGGGUUUAAAUACCCUAAAUAUCCGUAAAUAACUAGAAAACAAUUAAUAAAAAAAUAAUAAAACUAAAAUCCAAAAUUUUCAAGGAGAAAAUCUAAAAUAUGGUCUGAAAUUUCAAAGGCAGCUUUUUUAGAGUGGCAUUUGGAGAAUUUAAGUGAGGAAUAAGCUUCACGUGAGCGAGAUAAUAUCAUCUUAGAUUAAUUUUUUUAACAUGUAAAAUUUAAGUCUAAUUCAAUAAUUAAAUAAAAAAAAUUACCUCUUCCUGCCUGUCUUAACUAUUCUUUACAUAUGAACAUAUGAAUUACAUAUUAUUUUAUGUUGAGAGAGAGAAAGAGAGAGAGAGAGAGAGAGAGAGAGGAUGUGAGAGAGAGAGAGGGGUGUAUAUAUAUAUCACAGCUGCAUUUGAUAGAAUAAAUGGUAAGCAGGAAAUACAAUCCAAAGUCAACAUUAUACAGAUAUUUGACUCACAAUAAAUCAUCCAUACUCUUAUAAAAAAUAAAGAUGGGUAAACUCUUAAUUAGGCCUUGCUGCUGAAUUUUGUUGUUGAUUUGUAAUUUAAUUAUUGUUGAAGAUUUUUUGUGUUGGCAACCCAAACUAUCAUUGUGUUGGGUUUGGAUAACUUUAUUUGGAUUUAAUCUCCAAAAUCGAUGGGUAUCAUCACUUAUAGAUGAAUGGUUUAGCUUCUCUCAUUUUUUUGGAUUUAAUCCACUGAAACUGAGGUUUAAGAAUUUCUUGGAUUUAAUCCACUGAAACAGUUGCUUGAUCAAGAUCAUUGGCUUGUUUGAAGGCAGAUAAAGGCUUAAAAAAGAAGAAGCAAAUAUCAUCUUAGUUGAAAUUUCAAAGGCAAUUUUUUAGAGUAAAGAGGAAAUAAUUAAUACACUCAAAGCAGGUUCUAAAGAGUUCUGUCUUUCUCACCAAACAUGCAAAUAAAUCUUUGGGAUGUGAGAAAUCUUUUGCCAAUCUUCACCCAUCUCCUCCUUCCUACAGCUGUAACGUUUCCUUAGAAUGGGGCAACCCCUUAUCCCCAAUGCCUGCAGAGGCGCUGCCAAAACAUAGUCUGGUAGUGCUCUCAACAAUUGGCAAUAUUCAAUUCCCAAGUACUGAAGUUGUGGCAUAAUGGAUAUUAUUGAAGUUGUGUUGGCAUCUUCUUCUCCCACUCUCCUUUCCUUCCCACUCUUCUACUUCUCCGAGACCGUCCAUCCAAAGUUUUUUUAAUUUGGGGAAAGCAGUGACCCUUGCAAUUUCUCCUUCAUUAAUACUGGCCUUCUCAUCUUUUUCUAUACCUAAAAAUCCAGCAUCCAACCUUCUCACCUUCAUUGAGCUCAAUACCAGGCUUUCAAGGUUGGGCAAUCUUCCCAACGGAGGCAAGACCUCCACGUUUUCACAAUCACGGAGUGUAAGCUUCUGUAAUCUGGUUAAUGUCAUCAUCCAAUUUGGCAAAUCCAACCCUCCGUAGCUAUACAUGGUUAGAUUUUCCAAGUCUGACGGAGGCUGUAAAACUUCAAGUAAAAUGUCGUUCUCCCGGUUGAAGUCAAAAUCCAAUUGCAAACAAAGCAGGCGCUUCUUAUUCUUGAGUUGUGCUUCUGCAGCGUCACUCGCAUCUUCUUUACCUCCUCCUAGAUUCCGUAUACGAAGACUCCCUCCAAUGUGAUUUAAGUCUUUUAAUUCUCUUAGAUUAGCUGCUUUACUUUCAUUCUCACCACCACCACACACAGUAACACAUCUAAUGUUUGAAGACAUGUUAUCCUCUCUACUCCCUUUGGUAUGAAGGCCACACCUGAAAGAACAACCCGGAGAUGCCUCAAUUUGAUAAGUUUUCCAAUCGCAUUAGGCAAUUCCUUGAGAGAAGCACACAGAGUAACGUCUAGGGAUUGCAGAUUGCAUAAAUCACACAUGGUUUCUGGCAGGGACUCCAACUGAUAACAAGAUGCCACAUUGAGGUGUCUCAAAUGUAUCAAAUUCCCUACCUCGUUUGGUAUUUCUUUGAUUGAAGACCUUGUCAAAUUCAAUGACCUGAUGCAUGUCAACUGCUUGAACAAAUCAGGCAGUGCAACUCCAAGCGAAGGGUCUCUAGUGUCCAUCAAGAGGCUGCGAAGACCUUUUGCUUUGUGAAUGGACUUGGGAAACGAGCUCUCCUCUGACAGCAUCAUGCUUAAAUGACGAACCCUUUCAAUUGAAGUCUCCACUGUUGCUUUUCCAAGUUUACUGGCAUCCACUGUUAGACAUUCAUUUUUUGUCAUAUAUUGGGAAAAAUCAUGCACUAUAUCAUGCAUCUUGAAUUUCAUUCCUUCACACCAAUCCAUCUCAAAAUCUUGGAAGAAAGAACGCGCUGCUAAGACUUGAAAGUACUGCUCUCCUACACCCGAAGUCUCCUUGAGGUAACCUUGAGCUAUCCACAUCUUCACCAAUUCAUAUUUUCCCAUCUUGUAGUCUUUUGGAAACAUGGCACAAUACAAGAAACAUCGUCUUACCACAGAAGGUAAAUCGUAGUAACUCAAAAGCAAAGGUAUAAAUAUGCGUCUUUCAACCUGAUCUCUAUCAACCUCAUCUAGCCUCCACAGUUCGCUAGAUAAAACACGUUCCCACUCUUCUCUUGUUAUUUUAGACUGCAUUAGACCGCCUAAUACCUUGGCAGCUAGAGGGAAGCCCUUGCACUUGUUUGCAAUUUUAUCUCCGAUAUCUGUCAAUCUUUCGCACUCAUCUUCGCUUCUUUCCUGGAAUGCCACAUGAUUGAAUAUUGAACUGCAUAUCUCAUCGGACAAUUUCUCAAUGUUGAUCCGGUGGUCAGUUCCCAUCAUCGUUGCCACAGCGUCCUUACGAGUGGUCACUAGAAUUCUGCUUCCUCGUGCACAGCCUGUGAGAGAUGGUUUCAGUUGUUCCCAUUGUCCAUGAUUUUCUGUCCAGACAUCAUCAAGGACAAGAAGGAACCUCUUUCCCUUAAUGGAUUCAGAAACCCUUCGCAAAAGGGAUUGCAAUCCUACCAAAUCAGAUGCCCUCCCUUCAAGCUCCUCAAGGAUACCUUUGGCUAUUCUAACCUCAUCAAAUGGUUCUGAAACACACACCCAUAUCUUUUUCUCAAAAUGAGCCGUAACCUCAGCAUCAUUAAAAGCUAGUUGGGCGAGAGUUGUUUUUCCAAUUCCGCCCAGCCCUACUACAGAGAUGACAUCCACGUCCCGUGCUUCUUGACUACUUUCAGCCAGCAACUUGCUUACAACAUUUCUCUUUUCACCAUCUCGACCAAUCACGCUUGAUUCAUCAAACAAAGGAGGUAGUUGUUAGUCGCUGGAGUUCAUCAGUGGCUUUGUACAGAUCAAAGCCAUACUUAGCUCUCUGUUUGGCAAUGUCAUCCACUUUUUCACAAACUUCUUUGAUCUUCAGGGCAAUGCCGCGACGUCGAACCACUUGAUUGAAACAAAAGCAAGGAGAUCCCAGGAAGGAACACCGUAUCUUCUGUCGGCUGUGAGUAUUUUCUUCAGCUUCCUCCAUUUUCCAUCUAAGAAUUGCAGUGCUCCAUUCAUCUAGCACGUCAUUCAUAUCAUAACAUGCAUCUUUGAGCUUGUCUACCCAAUAUCUUACAGCCUUAUCCUUAACUUGUUUUCUAUCUGCAUCUUCAAGGACAGACUGGAUAUCAAGGAGAUUGCUUUUCAGCCUGUCGACUUGUUUCUUCACACCCACUACUAGGUUCACCUCUUCUUGUACCUAUUAGUGUACAAAAGAUAAGGAAGUUCAGGCAGAGGAAACAUUUCUAUGAUUUCACUGCAAAUUUUUAAUUUUAAUUUUUUGUAAUUAAUAGAUUAAUAAUUUUUUUUAAUCUUUUUUUCGCAGUAGCUGACACGUACAGUGAAAUGGAUUUGCUAUAUUAAAAUAUAUAUUAAAAUCCUAUAUAUUAAAGAUAAUAAUAUUUCUUUUUAUCAUCAUCAUGAUGAUAUCUGCCUGCACUCUGCUACUAUACAAGAAGGAAGAAACCUAUAUAUAACAUAAGCUUGUUGGAUCAAAGAAACAUAGAGAAUGAAAGGAUCUGUAUUUGUUGGUAUUUGUAAAGUCUAUAGUUUUAAAGUGAAAAAUAUUCUUCCUUCAUAACACUCACUAAUUAUUUUAACAUUUGAUUGAUUAUUUUACAGUUUAGUGAGAGGAUCGACAACUACUACUCCUUUUUCCUUCUAAGGAUAUUUGUUUUAGAUUAUUUCCGGAAAUAUGAAAAACAAUAAAACAAUAAAAAGAAAUUUCUUUAAUAAAAUCCAAAUCUAGAUCUGAGGAUUUGAUAUUUUAUUUUAUUUUUCUAAUAAAGGAAGAAAAAGAGACUUCAUUUUUAUAUUUCUUAUUCAUGUAAGGGUUAAUUAGAUCGUUGCAAAUUUUACAGUUAAGCAGUAGUUUGCUGAUUGAAAUGACUGUAAAUGGAUCCCAAUUGGAAACUGUCAUAAUUGAACUGCGAGCUCCGUUUUAUGUUUCUUCAGAACAUCAGUUUCCAUCGUGAUGCCUUCUUCCUUCAUCAAAAAGUGGGCAAAAUCAUAGGAGUAUGUGUCGCCUCUUCAACUUUAAAGAGUCCUCCUUCUUUUCUUGAAAAUCCUGGAAAAAAAGCUAAGAUUUUGAAGUACUCCUUACCAGCCAGCUCCAUUUGAUCUGUAUGGAAACGGACAGCUCUCCAUCAAUCAGCAACGGAGGGGUAGGGAGGUGAAGAAGAGAGGGAAUAGAUGAAAUCCCUAAUAGUAGCUUGGUGUUUUUUGUUCCAAUGACCAAACCAGAUAAUGUACGAGUUGACAGGUGCAGCCAGAACAGGCCCCUAGAAAAGCAACUGAAGGUCUACUACAUCAGAUGACCCUUCAUAGUUCUUGGCCCGGUUGAAUAGGUCGUCUAGACAAACAAAACAGAGAGAGCAAGAGUACAUUGUGUAGCAUAAGCUUAUUAUGCAUUUAAGUCUUUAGACUUUUUUUAUUAUUAUUAUUAACGUAGGUGUCCAGGUCAGCUUCCGCGCACCUUGAUUAAUCUCACGGGCACAUUGUCAGAAAUUACAGCAAGAAAUUCUGUAAUUAUUGUAAGAAAGAAGGGCAUGUAAUCAAGGAAUGUCGUCUGCGACCACAAAAUCGACAAGGAUUUACUGUGCAGUCGAAAUUGGGGGCUGCUUUUAUGGCCGCCGAAGCCGUGUCCUCACCAUCGACACUGGAAUCUUCAUCGUCGGUGAGCUCUUCGUCGAGCACUCUCACUCCCGAGAUGGUGCAGUAGAUGAUAAUAUCUACCUUCUCUGCACUCGGGAUUUCUGGUAAGAAAAAUAAACUUAACUUUCCCUUAGAUUCAGCACAUAAUAAACAAUGGUUAAUGGAUUUGGCAUCGUCUAAUCACAUGACCAACAGUGAAAAUGGGUUGUGUAAUGUGCUAAAAUACAUGGGUAAUUAGCAUAUACAGGUAGCAAAUGGUGAUAAUCUGCCAAUUUUGUCGAUUGGUAAUUUGGGGUCUUACUUCAAUAAUAUUUUUGUGUCACCAAAAUUAUCAACAAGUUUACUCUCUGUUGGUCAAAUGGUAGAAAAUAACUGUGAAAUUCACUUUGAUCAUCAUGGUUGUUGUGUGCAGGAUCAAGUGUCGGGGGAAGGUAAUCGCGAAGGGGCCUAAAGUGGGACGUUUAUUUCCAAUACAAUUUUCUAUUCCUAGUAUUAAUUCUUGUGCUUAUUCUACUCUCAUUCAUAAUCCUCAUUUUUGGCAUAAGAAAUUAGGGCAUUCUAAUUCUAAUGUAUUGACUUAUCUUAUGAAACAUGGAUAUUUGGGGAAUAUAAACUCUUUUUCAACAGAAUUUUUGGAUUGUAGUUCUUGCAAAUUGGGUAAAAGCAAAGCAUUAUCAUUCCCUUCACAUGGUAGUUGUGCUUCUAAAUGUUUUGAAAUUAUUCAUACUGAUGUAUGGGGCAUAAGCCCUGUUAUCUCUCAUGCUAAGUAUAAAUAUUUUGUCACGUUUGUUGCUACCUAAUUUUUGAUAAAUUUUCAGAAAAAUCAAAAAUAGCAAAAAAAACAAAGAAAAACCCAAAAAUAUAUUUUUGAUGUAUUUGCAUCGUUUUUAGCAUUUUCAAUGCCAUCUCAAAAGAAUUUAAAUUUUUAAAGGAAUUUUGGAACGCGUUCAACUUUUAACGCGUAAAAUUUUAUGAUCACUGAUUUUUAUUUUUGAGUUGACGGUGAUAUUGCUCGCUUUCGAAAACACAAAAAAAGAGAGAAAAUCAAAAUUUAAGAAAAAAAAGAGGAAAAGUUGAGGGACCAUUGUGAUUUUGGCCAUGCCACAUUUCUCCUAUAAAUACUAAGCUACAGUAAUGAACCAAGGGGCGAAAAAUAGACACAGGGAGAAAAAUGGUUUCACGGGGGAGAAAUUUACAUGGGGGGAAAGGCAAGUAGAAAAAAACCCUAAAGCCAAAAAAAAAAACCUAGAAACUAAAAAAACCCUUUCUUCCCCGGCAGCCGCCCUUGGCCUUUGAAAAAAACCUAGAACUAAUGAUUUUCUUCCUUAGCCACAACGCUGACCUCUCUUUUUGAAAAAGGGAGGAACAGACCGCCGCUGCAGAGUCUUUGAAAGGAAAAAGUCACCUGGCUAGGCGUUUCAAACAGCCCCGCCUCUCCUCUCUCCUUUUCUUCUCCCGAAACUAGCCAAAACUGACCCUCUCACUCUCAGCACAAAGCAGCCGCCCCCUUUACCCCCAUCUUCUUCUCCCUCAACCGACAGAUCUCACCCUCCAAUAGCAACCCCUCUUGCACGAAAAAACCCAGAGAAACCGUCCCUAAGCUCUCCAUUUUCCCUGCAGGAGGAGAGAAACCCACCGGACACAAGCCUUCUCCAGGUCUCCCCCGGAGCCGCCGCCCCCCAUCGUCUUGGAUUUGUUUCUCUCCCGAGACCAGCCGGCCACUCAUUUUUUCCCUUGGCUUGCUAAACAAAGCGGAGAAACUGGAGAGCAUCAGACUGACCUCUCUCUCCCUCGGCCGACCACCAUCAACCGGUCAACAGCAGCAUCUUCCCUUCUCCUGCAGCUCGUUACAGAGACAAUGAGAAGGGAGGCCAGAGGAUAGUGAAGAAGGGGCAGAAAACCGAAGCUUGGAUGGGCGCCGAUCUCGCAACCAUGGCAGCGGUGGACAACACCACCGUUGCAGAAACGAAAUGGGAGGAAGGGAAGUUGCUGAUCCAGCCAUCCACACGCCUGGUCUGUGGGCGGCGCGUGUAACGCCCAGCUUCAGAUUCGGCAGAUUUGAAGAAAAGAGAGGAGAAGCAGAUCCGAAAACAGUGAUUGAAAAAUAACUAAAAUCAGCUGGCUUUUUGUGCUUUGAUUUUUCUUUGCAGGUCACCACCGGUGGAAGAGGGGAUGAGGCCGUUGAAGACCCCCUGUGUUGUGUGGAUUUUUGCGGCGGCGCGUGGAUGCACGCGCCGCUACUGUUCAGGCAGCUCCAAAAAUUGUUUUCCUGAAUUUUUGGGACUAUUCUGUAAUUUUCAAUUAUGUGAUGUAAUUUUUGUUUAGUUUUGAAUUUUUUAUUUGUAUGUUGUGAAUUUGAAUGUAACAAAAAAAACAAAAAAAAAAGAAAGAAGAGAAAGGAAAAGAAAAAUAAAUAAUAUAAAGAAAGUUGUGUGUGUGUUUGUUUUUUUAUUUAUGUUAUUGAAUUAUAAAAAUAAAAAAAGGACAAAAAGAAUUAUUUGUUUAAUUUGAAUAUGGUUAAAUAUUUAAGGACAAAUAAAAUUAUGUUAUAUUUUCUAUGAAAGUGUAAGAACAUGUUUUUACACGUAUUCAGGGAUUUAAUAAUUGAUUUAUUAAAGUCUUAGAAUUUGAUUAAUAUUUUAAAUUUUCAAAUCAUAUCAAACCACGAAGCAGCUUAGCUCAGGUAGGGUGCUGUAGGGGUACUAAUACCUUUUCUAGCCACAAUCAGUCCCUUACCCUAGAAUCUCUGACCACGACCAGUAAAUCAUGGUUUUCUAGUAACCCUCUAUUAAAUACUAGGUGGCGACUCUCAAAGAACCAAUCAAGCAAAGACAACGAAAAAUUGCCAAAUCACCGCGUGGGGGACGUGCGACAAUGUUUAUUGAUGAUUUCAGUCGUUUCACUUGGAUAUAUUUUCUUCGAUCUAAGACUGAUUUAUUCUUAACAUUUCAGGCUUUCGUUGUAUUUAUUGAAAAUCAAUUUUCUACUCAUAUUAAAAUACUUUGUUCUGACUCCGGGGGGGAAUAUGUGUCCAAAGAACUUCAGGAAUAUCUCAAAAACAAAGGGAUUCUCUCUCAAAGAUCUUGUCCUUACAUUCCUUAACAAAAUGGAGUUGCUGAGCGUAAGAAUCCUCAUCUUUUAGAUGUUCGCACCUUAUUAAUUGAUUCUUUGGUACCUACUCGAUUUUGGGUAGAAGCACUGUCCACAGUCGUUCAUCUAAUUAAUUGUUUGCCUUCACAAGUACUAAACUUUGCAUCUCCAUACUCUAUUUUAUUUGGUGUUAUUCCUAAGUAUGAUUCUCUCCGUGUUUUUGGGUGUGUUUGUUUUGUUCACUUACCAUCUACUGAACGUAAUAAACUUUUAGCCCAAGCUGCUCGUUGUGCUUUUCUAGGAUACAAUAAUUUUCAUAAAGGAUUUGUGUGUUAUGAUGCAAAUGCUCAUAAAAUUCAUCUCUUGAAAUGUAAUUUUUUUUUUAAAUCAGAAUUUUUUCCCUUCUUAUCCCUCUACAAAAUCCACUCCUAUCCAACUUCCCACAUUUGAUGAUCAUAGUCCAUCUUAUAUCUUUGAAUGUUUUAAGCCAGGAAUUGUAUAUCAAAGACGUCAUCCACCAUCCAUUUUGCCCCUUCCGGACACGAAACCGGCAUCUGAUCAUUCCCCUCAACUAAGACGAUCAACUCGAGUUUCACGUGCCCCAAACAGGUAUGGAUACUAUCAGCAACUACUAUUGAUAGUACUUUUGUGCCUAAGACUUAUGCCCAGGCUUCUACCCAAGACUGUUGGCAACAGGCCAUGAAAGAGGAACUUCAGGCUCUUCAGGAUAAUCACACAUGAGAUAUUGUUUCUUGUCCUACCGGAAUUAAACCUAUUGGCUGCAAAUGGCUAUACGAAAUUAAAGCACGGUUGGUGGCUCUUGGAAAUUGUCAGGCAUAUGGUAUUAAUUAUGAGGAGACAUUUGCACCUGUGGCUAAAAUGACUACCAUACGAACCAUUAUGACAAUUGUUGCUUCCAAAAGAUGGCCACUUCAUCAAAUGGAUGUAAAAAAUGCAUUUUUACAUAGAGACUUGAAAGAGAAUAUUUAUAUGACUCCUCCUUCUGGUAUGUUUACUCACUCAUCCGAUAAAGUCUGCUGGUUGAAACGGUCCCUGUAUGGUCUAAAACAGGCACCCCGGGCAUGGUUUGAAAAAUUUCGCACUACUCUUUAGAAACUUAAAUUUAUUCAGAGCCAAUAUGAUUCCUCUAUGUUUCUUCAGCAAACUACUACUGGUAUUGUUGCUCUUCUGGUAUAUGUUGAUGAUAUUAUCAUUACAGGAUCCGACAUUCCACUCAUUGAGGAUUUACAACAUUCUCUUAACAGUGAAUUUCAUAUGAAGGAUCUGGAACACCUUCACUAUUUCCUUGGUCUACCGGUGCACUCUAUGUCCAGUAGGAUUUCUCUACAUCAGCACAAAUACACCCAAGAGAUUCUUCUUUUGGGCGUUCUUGAAUCAGGGAAUAUCGUUCUUACACCUCUCGAGAUUAAUUUAAAACUUUGUCAUAAUGAUGGUGACCUGUUACCUGAUCCCUCCAUAUACAAGCAGUUGGUGGGCAGUUUGAAUUAUCUAACCAUUACUCGGCCAAAUAUUUCUUUUGUAGUACAACAAGUCAGUCAAUUUUUACAGGCUCCUCGUCAACCUCAUUUAGCUGUUGUCCGAAGAAUUCUUCGCUAUCUUAAAGUCACAUCUGGGCGAGGAUAAUUUUUUCCUGCUGAUAAUUCAUUACAAUUAACAAGUUAUAGUGAUGCAGAUUGGGCAGGGUGCGUGGAUACACGUCGGUCUGUUACUGGGUGGUGUAAGUUUCUUGGAAAUGCUUUGAUUUCAUGGAAAAGCAAAAAGCAAGACCGAAUCUCAAAAUCUUCCAUAGAAUCUGAGUAUCGAGCUAUGUCCUCCGCAUGUUCUGAAAUUGUGUGGCUUCAGGGUUUGCUACGUGAACUUGGUUUUCCUCAGCACACUCCUACACCUCUUCAUGCUGAUAACACAAGUGCUAUUUAGAUUGCUACUAAUCAUGUGUUUCAUGAACGCACCAAACAUAUUGAAGUUGAUUGUCACUACAUUCGUGAAGCUUUUGAUCAUAAUAUUCUUACACUACCUUAUAUUUCCACCGAGCAUCAGACAACUGAUGUCUUUACGAAGGCCUUGUCUCGGCCUCGACAUCAACUCAUGAUAGACAAAUUGAUGCUUCUUGAUCGGCUAGCAUCAAUUUGAGAGGGGAUGUCAUUGUAUAUUAUGGCAAGAAUAUCAAUACUAUAUGGCAACCAAAUUGUAACAGAAUAUCUUGUAUUUAUUAUAGACUACAAAUCAGGGAUUAGAGACAGUAAAUUAGUGAUUAUUACAUGUAUUUAGAGGAUUGAAUUCCUCCUUCUGAAGUCAUUAAUUGAGAGAACAAUUUUACAUUGAAAUUUGAUAUUUGUGACAUGUGACUUGGUGAGAUUCUUCAUUUAUUAUUAUUUCCUUGUGGUGGACACAAUGGUUUACGUAGAUGAACUGAAUUCUUGCAUGACAACAACAAAAUAAGUGUGAUUCAGCACUGUCAAGAAAAAGGUAGAGCAGAGCAACCCUUUUUGACGGAGGCUAAUAAGUUGCAAAAGUUAGUAAGAAGUGGCUCAUUGAGCAACCAAUUAGCCAAGAUGUCUUAUUUCAAACCCUCGUACAGAGGAAUGCCGUAUUUUUAUUUUUCUAAGGAACUGCAUUUUUGUCCCCCUCUUCUCCUUCUUUUUUCCUGUUGAAACAGCAACAGGGUACAUCUACUCCAUGUCAAAGUCUAGUCUAUAACCAGACCAGUAAAGAACAUUGACUUACAAGGAGUUCCAUUGAAGUUUCGAUUAUGAGCAGGCAUGCUUCUAUCCCAAUUUACCACUCUGGGUCAGAUUUCACACUUAUCAGAGCACUGUGAUGACAACAGCAGAAACUAUCUAAUUUCCCACCAAACAUAAAGAGAGCUUUGAAUCUACACACCCGCCAGUUAUAAUCAUUCAAGACAGAUAUGUUAGCUAUAGUUAAGGCCAGAGAGAAACACAAGCUAAAAAAAAAUGCACCUUCUAAUUACCGAGAAGCAUGCAGAAAAAAACCUGUAGACAACUCCAAUAUUGGGUGUCAGAUUCUGUAUUUUCUGAACCUGAAACAACAAGCAAUUAAAUACCAUCAACAACCAACUCAAGUUCUAUACUAUCUUGCAAGUUAUAUACCAUCAAUGAAAUAGUUUUUAUUUAAAGGGAUUAAAAUGACAUCUUUUUACCAAAAUUGUUUUUUCCAAAAAACAUUCAAUAAUAUUUAACCAAGUUUUACCCGAGUCCAUAUAAUUUGAAAGUAAUAAAUCAUAUCAAAUUUCUUUAAAUUAUUAAAUUGGAUCCUUAAUUUUCAAUUCGUCAAAUUAUUAAAUUGGAUCUUCAAUCUCUUUUAUAGGGGGUUUGGUGUCACUGCUUAACUUAAUUAUGAUACUAUAUAUAGUGACCAUUUGUGAUAAUUCUGUUGCAGAUUAAAAAUAUUUAGCGACAUUAAAAGUGUCGUUAAAUAUAUUUUGAAGAGCCAUUACAUGUUGUUUUUUGUUUUUUGUAGUGCAACGAUAGUAAAACAUUAUGUUAAUUUUAGCAACACACCGUGACCAAAUCCAAUGAAGAAACCUAAUAAUCAAAGAAAAUUAGAAAUUUUAAAAUUGAUAUUGGAUUUUUAAAGAUUCAGAUAUUAGGUUAACAUCACAUUUACUAUAACCUUUUAAAUAAAAAAUUAUCAUUGUUUAUGUUUUUCUAAAUUAUUUUAUGCUAUUAUAUUUUUAUUUAUAAUUUAUUUAAGAAUAGACACCGGUUUCUUAGAAUAAAAAACUUGUAAAUUUUUUUGUCAUCCCUAAAAACCAAAGAGUCCAUAGCUUGUCAUUUUAUGACACUAGCCUUGCUAUGUAUAUAUAAUCUCCACGGUUAUAAAAACCAAUAUCUAAAUAGAAGAUUUCAUUAAUUUUUUUACAUUAAUCCCUGAAGACAGUAGAUUUUGUAAUUUCUUGAAUUUUAAUAAAAACUUUGAUGUUAAUCCCUUAAGAUAGAAGAUUUCAUCACUUUUUAAGAUUUAAUGAAAAUUUUGAUGAUAUUCACUAAAAUAGAAGAUUUCAUCAUUUUUUUAAUUUAUAACAAAAUUUUGACGUUAUCUCUAAAAAGUUUUUGUUGUAUAGUAAAAUGGUUUUUAUACAGUAAAAUCCAGUUCCCAUACAGUAGUGUAUAACCUUUUCGGUUUUUAGUAUGGUUUGUUUCUUUGGCUGCUUUUCCAAGAUAAAGUCUUCAUCCGUGAUUUCUUGUUUCAGCAUGAUUUCUUUUCUCUUCAGCAAGCUAGAUGUAUGUUUUGUAAAAGAAGAUUUGAAACUUCAAGCCAUCUCUUCAUUCAUUGUGUUUUUGCCUGGAAGUUAUGAAUGAAAUUCCUAUUUUGGUGGGGGAAUUAGUGAUUCUUUCCCAAAUUCUAUUGAUGAUAUAAUCUACAAAUGAUGCAAGGAAAAUUUCAGAAUCUUUCAUGAUGACAACUUCUCUUUUCUUGUAUUGCAUGGAGUCUAUGGCUACAUUGAAAUGAUGUAAUCUUCAAUGAUGCUAUUCCAGAUCUUAAGGGUUGUUUUUACUUUAUCGAUCCUCCACAGGUUCUCCUUAUGGUUGAAGUUUGAUAGCACAACUUUUGCUUACACCGGUUUGGAUUUAGGGAUCAACUCUGAUGGGAUCUUUUUCGGGGAUAACAGAAGUUGACUUCUUGUUUUUAUCUAUUGUCUGGUCCCUGUUUUCUUCUUCCUGUUAUAGAGUAGAUACCGUGAUUUAGGGAUCAACUAAGGUUCACUGUUGGUUUCUAUGCAAGGCAAGAUUGAGAGUUAUGUGAAUAUAUGAGUUGGAAGGUUAGAGUAAAUGCUGGAUGGUAUUUUUUAUUUUUCCCUCUCAUUGGCGCUGCUCACCAAUAGCUCGGGUGCAUUUGAUGCUGAUGGAGAUGGAACCGAAGCUUAUAUAUUCAGCCACUUCACAUGCUUUUUUUCUUUUAACAGUCGAGUGUAUUAUAAGAAAAUGGCUAAAAAGAUAAUAGCCUAGCAUCCAGAAGUUCUAGCUGACCACAAAAAAAAAAAAAAAAAGCAAACAAGCUUUAGAGGUUUUGAAACAGGGGAAGGAAAACAGUGUGGGAAAAGGAAAAAAACAAUUGAAAUCAGCUCCUCCUUUUUACAAAACCAAUGCCAUCAUAGCUGUUAUGAACAUCCUCGCCAGCAGAGUCUGGAGAAUUGGUAUCAAGUCUCAGCCAUAAUGAGAAACUGCCGAAGAUCAAGGAAAAACAGCUUUGAAGGUUUGGAGCAGCCCUAUUAAAGAUGAUAUCUCCAUAGAAAACCAUUAGUAGUACAUAUCAUCAAUCGAUUUUGUGAAAACAUUGAUAAUACCCCACCGUGAAGGAAUUUCAUUCAUAGAUGCCAAGCAAAGUGGCAGUGGAUGAAGAGGUGACUUGAAGAUUCCAGGUUUUUAUUACAAAAAACACAUCUAGAAGCCACUUCAGAUGCUCAUGAUGAUAUUACAUGUUUCUUCUCUCUGAAUUCAUACAAUCUUUCUUUCAUACACUUCCAUAUUUUUCAGAAAAGAUUGAGGAUGAAGAUACACCAAAUUUAGAUUGCAUCAGAGGUUGCAGUCACUAUCUUUACACGGGGUUGGCUUUUUUUACUUGCUAAAGAUGGCUAACUGUAAUUAGAAUGUUUCUUCUUUUCAAAGUAAUAAAUCUCUGAGUCCUUACAUCUCUAGUUAAUUAUAACUACCUUACCGGUCAUAAUGCUCUUUUCUAUACCUGAUGAAUGAUAUUAUUUCUGAGAUUUUUGAACAUGUAAUGACGGAAGCCUGCGGUGGAUUGGUUCCCUUUGUUACGUUACUGGAGUCGCAAUGUUUCGAGGUAUCUGACCAAAUUAAUUCUCUUGCUUUUUGCAGCAAAUCUGUAUCUCUUGCUACUUGCUAGAGGCGUACUCCCAGGCUACCACUGUUUUGGUGUUGCCUCUCUUACCAUUGUUAUUAGGUUGAAUUAAUUAAAUACCAGAAGAUUUCUGGAUGUGUAAUGACUGUAUGAUUAAACUUACCAGUGCACUGUCAAGGCUGUGGCGCAUGAACUUCAUUCGCGGGCGUGCGUCACCACUGUUCCACCGUGUGCCGUCGCAGCCUUCACCAAUUCCAGUAGCUCCAGUUUUUUUCUCCAUUGCCUCCAUUGAAGGUCCAAUUUUCGAGCUCACAAAACAUGACAUCUUGAGUUUAUUUUUCACGAAUUAUGUUUGUGUUUUGACAAAUCCAACAAUUAUGAUUUGAUUUAGUUGUUUCUAGUUAUGGGACACAAUGUUGUGUUUUUUUAUUAAAAAAAAGAAGAAAAGAAAACAGAGAGAAUGCUAAAAAGAAAGUCACAGCUGCAUGUGAUAGAAUACAUGUAAGUAGGAAAUAAAAUCCAACUCAAGAAUAGAUUACAAAUGAGUUCAAUCCAUUUACAGAAAAAGGGUAUAUAGAAUAUAUUUGUCUGAAGAAUCCCCUGUCUGGAAGUUCUUUGAAUGGGGCUGUGAUGGCAUUUAGAAAGCACAAGCACUAGGGGUCUUGUCUUUCACUAGCAGAAACAUAUUUAUUGUUGAAGAUUUUUUGUGUUAGGUUUAGAUAACUUUAUUUGGAUUUAAUCCACUAAAUUGGUGGGUAUCAUCUCUUAUAGAUGAUACUUUAGCUUCCAAGUCUACCAUUCUCUCAUUUAUUUGGAUGUGUUUUGUAGGGUAGAUAUGGUUGUUUUUCAAAAUGUUUUUUAAUUGAAAAUGCUUUAAAAUAAUUUUUUAAAUAUCAGUUUUUACAUCAACAAUAUAUCAAAAUGAUCUAAAAAUAUUUAUAAAAAAUUAAUUUAAAAUAAAUAAAUAAAAUUUAAAUUUAAAAAAAAAACAAAACACUUACACAAAAACAAAUAGAAUCUUGCUGUGAAUAACAGAAUUUGGUGCUAAAUUUCUUGUUGUGAAUUGCAGAAAACAGUUGCUUGAUCUGCACUAGGAUGGCAAUAGCAAGGUAAUGGAGGAUGUGAGAAAGGUAUAUCCAAGUCGUGCUUCUUUUUUGUAUCUUUCUCCUCAUCCACUAACUCUUGCUUCUUUUUUUCCCGUGAAAAAAUGGAGAGCCGAAAAUAGAUUUGUUAAAAAAUGGAGUUCCUGCAGAUUCCAAUUAAAGAGUUCUGUCUUUCUCCUGUAAUCAUCAAAACAAAUGUUAGGGAUGUGAGAAAUCUUUUGCCAAUCUUCACCCAUCUCCUCCUCCCCGUAACGUUUCUUAAUGGGGCAUCUACUUAUGUCCAGUUCCUGUAGAGGCGCUGCCAAAACAUAGUCUGGUAGUGCUCUCAACAACGGGCAAUUUCAAUAUCAAUCUCGAAGUUGUGGCAUAAUGGAUAUAUUGAAGUUGUGUUGGCAUCUUCUUCUCCCACUCUCCUUCCAAUUCCAUCCCACUCUUCUACUUCUUCGAGAUCCAAAUCAAGUUUUUAAUUUGGGGAAAGCAGUGACCCUUGCAAUUUCUCCUUCAUUAAUACUGGCAUUCUCAUCUUUUUCUAUACCUAAAAAUCCAGCAUCCAACCUUCUCACCUUCAACGACCUCAAACCAGGCUUUCAAGGUUGGGCAAUCUCCCAACGGAGGCAAGACCUCCAGUUCACAAUAACAGAGUUUAAGCUCCUGUAAUCUGGUUAAUGUCAUCAUCCAAUUUGGCAAAUCCAACCCUCCGUACCUAGAUAUGGUUAGAUUUCCAAGUCUGACGGAGGCGUAAAGCUUCAAUUAAAAGCCGUUCUUGCCGGCUCUGUGUCGAAACCAAUAGCAAACAAGCAGGCGCUUCUUAUUCUUGAGUUGUGCUUCUGCAGCGUCACUCGCAUCUUCUACCUCCCCGUAGAUUCCAUAUCUUAAGACUCCCUCCAAUGUGAUUUAAGUUUUUUAAUUCUCUUAGAUUAGCUGCUUUACUUUCAUUCUCACCACCACCACACACAGUAAACACAUCUAAUGUUCGAAGACAUGUUAUCCUCUCUAUUCCCUUUGGUAUGAAGGCCACUCCUGAACCAUAAAUCCGGAGAUGCCUCAAUUUGAUAAGUUUUCCAAUCGCCUUGGCAAUUCCUUGAGAACCACACCAAGUAACGUCUAGGGAUUGCAGAUUGCAUAAAUCACACAUGGUUUCUGGCAGGGACUCCAACUUAACAAAUGCCAAAUUGAGGUGUCUCAAAUGUAUCAAUUUCCCUACCUCGUUUGGUAUUUCUUUGAUUGAAGACCUUGACAAAUUCAAUGACCUGAUGCAUGUCAACUGCUUGAACAAAUCAGGCAGUGCAGCUCCAAGCGAAGGGUCUCUAGUGUCGAUCAAGAGGCUGCGAAGACCUUUUGCUUUGUGAAUGGACACGGGAAAAGAGGUCUCUUGACAGCAUCAUGCUUAAAUGACGAACCCUUUCAAUUGAAGUCUCCAUUGUUGCUCCUGAAGGUUAUUGACAUCCACUGUUAGACAUUCAUUUUUUGUCAUAUAUUGGGCAAAAUCAUGCACUAUAUCAUGCAUCUUGAAUCUAAUAUCUUCUGAUCAUACGUCUUAAAUCUUGGAAGAAAGAGCGCGCUGCUAAGACUUGAAAGUACUGCUCUCCAACAAGCUCCAUAUCUCCACCUGAAGUCUCCUUGAGGUAACCUUGAGCUAUCCACAUCUUCACCAAUUCUAUUUCCCAUCUCGUAGUCUUUUGGAAACAUGGCACAAUACAAGAAACAUCGUCUUACCACAGAAGGUAAAUCGUAGUAACUCAAAAGCAAAGGUAGAAAUAUUCCUCUUUCAACCUGAUCUCUAUCAACCUCAUCUAGCCCCACAAUUCGCUAGAUAAAACACGCUCCCACUCUUCUCUUGUUCUUUUAGACUGCAUUAGACCUCCUAAUACCUUGGCAGCUAGAGGCAAGCCCUUGCACUUGCUUGCAAUUUUUCGCCGAUAUCUGUCAAUCUUUCGCGCUCAUCUUUGCUUCUUUCCUGGAAUGCCACAUGAUUGAAUAUUGACCUGCAUAUCUCAUCGGACAAUUUCUCAAUGUUGAUCCGGUGGUCAGUUCCCAUCAUCGUUGCCACAGAAUGUUUACGAGUGGUCACUAGAAUUCUGCUUCCUGGUGCACGCCUGUGAGAGAUGGUUUCAGUUGUUCCCAUUGUCCAUGAUUUUCUGUCCAUACAUCAUCAAGGACAAGAAGGAACCUCUUUCCCUUAAUGGAUUCAGAAACCCUUUGCAAAAGGGAUUGCAAUUCAACCAAAUCGUGCCUCCCUUCAAGCUGCUCAAGGAUAGCUUUGGCUAUUCUAACCUCAUCAAAUGGAUCUGAACACACACCCAUAUCUUUUUCUCAAAAUGAGCCGUAACCUCAGCAUCAUUAAAAGCUAGUUGGGCGAGAGUUGUUUUUCCAAUUCCGCCCAGCCCUACUAGAGAGAUGACAUCCACGUCCCGUGCUUCCUGACUACUUUCCCAGCAACUUGCUUACUACAGCUUCCCUUUCAUCAUCUCGACCAUCACGAUUGAUUCAUCAACAAGGGAGGUACUUGUUAUUCGUUGGAGUUCAUCAGUGGCUCUGUACAACUCAAAGCCAUACAUAGCUCUCUCUUUGGCAAUCUCAUCCACUUUUUCACAUACUUCUUUGAUCUUGAGGGCAAUGUCGCGACGUCGACCACUUGAUUGAAACAAAAGCAAGGAGAUCCCAGGAAGGAACAUCCAUCUUCUGUAGGCUGUGAGUAUUUUCUUCAGCAUCCCCCAUUUUCCAUCUAAGAAUUGCAGAGCUCCAUUCAUCUAGCACGUCAUCCAUAUCAUAACAUACAUCUUUGAGCUUGUCUACCCAAUCUCUUACUGCCUCAUCCUUCACUUGUUUUCUAUCUGCAUCUUCAAGGACAGAGUGAAUAGCAAGGAGAUUGCUUUUCAGCUUGUCGACUUGUUUCUUCACACCCACUACUAGGUUCACCUCUUCUUGUACCUAUUAGUGUAGAAAAGAUAAGGAAGUUCAAGUAGAGGAAACAUUUCUAUGAUUUCACUGCAAAUUUUUAAUUUUAAUGUUUUGUAAUUAAUAGAUUAGCAGUAGUUGACACGUACUGUGAAAUGGAUUGGCUAUAUUAAUAAUUUAUAUAUAAAAUAUUUAUUAAAAACCUAUAUAUUAAAGAUAAUAAUAUUUCUUUUUAUCAUCAUCAUGAUGAUAUCUGUCUGCAGUCUGCUACUAACAAGAUGGAAGAUAAUGAAUCAUAAAAUUGUUCGACGUCAAACCUAUAAAUAACAUAAGCUUGCUGGAUCAAAGAAAUAUAGAGUAUAAAAGGAUCUGUAUUUGUUGGUAUUUGUAAAGUCUAUAGUUUUAAAGUGAAAAUAUUCUUCCUUUAUAACACUCACUAAUUAUUUUAACAUUUGAUUGAUUAUUUUACAGUUUAAUGAGAGGAUCGACAACUCCCUUUUCCUUCUAAGAAUAUUUGUUUUAGAUUAUUUCCGGAAAUAUGAAAAAUAAUAAUAUAAUAAAGAGAAAUUUCUUUAAUAAAAUACAAAUCUAGAUCUGAGGAUUUGAUAUUUUAUUUUAUUUUUCUUAUAAAGGAAGAAAAAAGACUUCAUUUUUAUAUUUCUUAUUCAUGUUAGGGCUAAUCAGAUCAUUGCAAAUUGUACGAAGUAAUUACCUCUUGAGCAACAAUCCUCGUUAACUGCUCCAAAAUUGGCGAUAAAAGUGCCGCUGCCAUCUGUCUGUUUAAUUUAAUUUAAUUUAAUUAUUUUUGAAAAAGAGACAAUGAUGAUAGGAUGAACUAAGAAAGAGAGAGAAGAGAGUCUGAGUGGAAGGAGGCUGCUGGUUUAUUAGUUAGUUUAUGUACUUAGGGUUUGGUGUGGAGGGUUGAGUUUUGUUUCAGUCCCUGUACUGUUUCUAACACUUCGAUUCAGUCCCUAUAUUAUUGUAGCUUUUCAGUCUAGUCCUGGUUGUAUGUUUCUACUGAGAAUGACAUGCCAUUUUGAGUUCCAAAGGUGAAAUACUCGUGCUUUUCUAACUUUUCCUGGCUAAGGAUUAUUAUUUGUGGAAAGUAAUUUCUUCUUCGAUAUAUAGCAGUUAUUUUGGAUUGAUACUGACCUUAGGUUAAGAAUGCUGAAGUUUCUAUUGAUUAUAGCAAUCUACUGAAAUCCCUGCUUCUCGUCUGCUUCUCUAUUUCUUCUCUUCAUUUUAUGUUAUUCCACUAAUCUUCCAAACUGGAUCAUGGUAAUAUAUAUCUGUCCAUCCAAACUAAUUUACACAAACCAAAAGUAGUAACCAAUUAGUUCUUGUGUAAUGGAAAUACAAACAAGCAUCUAUCUAUCUGGGUUUUUGAGAUCUGGUGAUUUUAUCCUGUUUUCAUAGCAGGGACUGGGGUUUGAUAUUGAUCUUUGAUUUUUGGGUCCGAAAAUGGAUGGUCCAGAUUUGUUGAGGUUGUAUGAUUGGAUUUGUUGAUGGUGCUUGAGAUGAUGCUGUAAAGUAUUUUCUUAUAUAUUUUCUGAUUUUCUGGAGGAAAGGAAAGGACUACAUCACCUUCCUAUCGAUUUUUCUAUCUGCAUCCAUAUACAUUUUGCAAUUAAGUCAUUAUGCUUUAAACUCAUUCCAUGUGCCUUCCCUUACAAGAAAAAAAAGAAAAAGAAAAAACAAGCCCAGGGUACUCAGCUUGGGCUUGGGUUCCCUCAUUAUGACUUGGUGAAUUGGGCAAUCUAAAUACUUUUGGGCUCUGUUUUAAUGGGUUCCAAGGGGAAGAAAACACAACGAUUCUUGAACAAGGAUUUGUGUCCCGUGCGCACUUGAACGAUGGGGGUCUGUUUGCAUUUUGUCAAAAGAGAUGAAAUUCUAAUCAAUGAUGAUGAUGAAAAAAAUAAAUAUAUAAAUUACUAUGUGCAUUCUAUAAUUUAGUUAUAUAAUAUAGUAGAUCUUUACAAAUUAGUAAUUUCAACUUACCAGUAGAAAAAUUAUAGUAGAUCUUUACCAUGAUAUUAUCGAAAUAAAUAAAUAAAUAAAAAUAGAUACACUUCAACACGUCCAUACACUCUUUACCAUGAUAUUAUGUAAAAUGUUAUUCUGAAGUGCCAAGACGGCUUCCUUGAAUUGCAAUAGUAUUUCGAUGUCUUGGUAGUUGAAUUUUUCUCAAUGAGCUCCAGGAAACUCUGUAAUUCUGAUUCUUGCCACCAAGUAACUUCAGGGCAGUCUGGAAAGGAUUUUCAAUGUACUUAUGUUCUUGAUGGAAUCUAAUUAUAAUUCUUAAAAACUUUUCAAUGUACUUCUGGCUUUUAAGCAAGCCUUGUCAGAACAAGAGUCUUGUGAUUAAAUUGUUUCUUCAACUCAAAUAGAUCCCUGAAAAUUAGAAAGGGGAGGCUUAUAAUUAAAUAAUAAAUGACACCAGGGGUAACAACUUAUACCCUGAUAAUCUACUAAUAGACUGACAUGCUGUAUCCAAGAAAUUAUUCCACCCCGUUUUUGGGCUGUGUUCAGAAAAUUAUUACAACCCAUUUUUGGGGUUCAACUUCGGUAUUGUUUAUUAUGUUGUUCGCCUUUUUUAAAUUGUGUUUUUUAAAAUAUAUUUUAUAAUCUUAAUGAAAAAAAAUAUAAAAAUAUAUUUUUAAUUAAAAAAUACUUUUAAAAAAGAUCAUAUCUUGCAUUACUAAACACACAUAUAAUAGAAUACUCGAGGGAUUUUUUUAUAAGCCAAGACUAAAUUUAUUAUUGCUAUUAUUUUAAAGUUCAUUCGUAUUUGUAUUAAACACAUACUAAUUUUCUCUUGAAAUAUGAAAGCAAAAUCCAAAAAAAAAUAAAAUGAAUGCUAAUCAAUAAAAAACAUAUGAAUUUUUUUUAUUUGAGAAUAAAGAAUUUUUUAAAUUUUUUUAUAAAUUAAUUAAAAUUAACCAUUAUUUACAUUAUUUAAGAGCAUUAAAGAAAUUUUUUAAAAAAACUUAACAAAUCUAAAAUUAGAAGUUAUUGUAGUUCUAAAUACUUCCGAGUAUUUAAUUAAUUUUAUUUUUGGAUAUGUUUUUAAAAUAUAUUUUAUUUAAAAAAUAUUAUAUUAAGUUUUUAAAUAUUUUUAAUGAUUUUUAUGUAUUAAUAUUAAAAUGGCAUGUCAUUCUCAGUAGAAACAUACAAUUAAAUUUCAUUAACAGCCAUCUCAAGUUCUAUACUAUCUUGCAAGUUGUAUAACAUCAAUGAAAAAUUUUUUAUUUAAAGGGGUUAAAAUGACAUCUUUUUACCAAAAUUGUUUUUUCUAAAAAAAAUUCAAUAAUAUUUAACCAAGUUUUACCCGAGUCCAUAUAAUUUGAAAGUAAUAAAUCAUAUCAAAUUUCUUUAAAUUAUUAAAUUGGAUCCUUAAUUUUUAAUUUGUCAAAUUAUUAAAUUGGAUCUUCAAUCUCUUUUAUAGGGGGUUUGGUAUCACUGCAUAACUUAAUUAUGACACUAUAUAUAGUGAUCAUUUGUGAUAAUUCUGUUGCAGAUUGAAAAUAUUUAGCGACACUAAAAGUGUCGUUAAAUAUGAGAGCCAUUACAUGUUGUUUUUUGUUUUUUGUAGUGCAACGAUAGUAAAACAUGAUGUUAAUUUUAGCAACACACCGUGACCAAAUGCAACGAAGAGAGUCGAAACCUAAUAAUCAAAGAAAAUUAGAUAUUCUAAAAUUGAUAUUGGAUUUUUAAAGAUUCAGAUAUUAGGUUAACAUCACAUUUACUAUAACCUUUUAAAUAAAAAAUUAUCAUUGUUUAUGUUUUUCUAAAUUAUUUUAUGCUAUUAUAUUUUUAUUUAUAAUUUAUUUAAGAAUAGACACCGGUUUCUUAGAAUAAAAAACUUGUAAAAUUUUUUGUCAUCCCUAAAAACCAAAGAGUCCAUAGCUUGUCAUUUUAUGACACUAGCCUUGCUAUGUAUAUACAUAAUCUCCACGGUUUUAAAAACCAAUCUCUAAAAUAGGAGAUUUCAUUAAUUUUUUUACAUUAAUCCCUGAAGACAUGCAGUAGAUUUUGUAAUUUCUUGAAUUUUAAUAAAAACUUUGAUGUUAAUCCCUUAAGAUAGAAGAUUUCAUCACUUUUUAAGAUUUAAUGAAAAUUUUGAUGAUAUUCACUAAAAUAGAAGAUUUCAUCAAUUGUUUCUUUGGCUGCUUAUCCAAGAUAAAGUCUUCAUCCGUGAUUUCUUGUUUCAGCAUGAUUUCUUUUCUCUUCAGCAAGCUAGAUGUAUGUUUUGUAAAAGAAGAUUUGAAACUUCAAGCCAUCUCUUCAUUCAUUGUGUUUUUGCCUGGAAGUUAUGAAUGAAAUUCCUAUUUUGGUGGGGGAAUUAGUGAUUCUUUCCCAAAUUCUAUUGAUGAUAUAAUCUACAAAUGAUGCAAGGAAAAUUUCAGAAUCUUUCAUGAUGACAACUUCUCUUUUCUUGUAUUGCAUGGAGUCUAUGGCUACAUUGAAAUGAUGUAAUCUUCAAUGAUGCUAUUCCAGAUCUUAAGGGUUGUUUUUACUUUAUCGAUCCUCCACAGGUUCUCCUUAUGGUUGAAGUUUGAUAGCACAACUUUUGCUUACACCGGUUUGGAUUUAGGGAUCAACUCUGAUGGGAUCUUUUUCGGGGAUAACAGAAGUUGACUUCUUGUUUUUAUCUAUUGUCUGGUCCCUGUUUUCUUCUUCCUGUUAUAGAGUAGAUACCGUGAUUUAGGGAUCAACUAAGGUUCACUGUUGGUUUCUAUGCAAGGCAAGAUUGAAAGUUCUGUGAAUAUAUGAGUUGGAAGGUUAGAGUAAAUGCUGGAUGGUAUUUUUGAUUUUUCCCUCUCAAUGGCGCUGCUCACCAAUAGCUCGGGUGUAUUUGUGCUGAUGGAGAUGGAACCGAAGCGUAUAUAUUGGCUUUUUUUACUUGCUAAAGAUGGCUAACUCAGUAACAGAAGAGAUUUUCUAUUUCAGCAUGACUACCUUACCCUUAAGGAAUCAAGAUGUGCUUCAUGCAAUAAAAGCUUGGAAUCUUCAAUUCACUUCUUCAUUUAGUAUCACUUCACUUUGAAUAUAUGGAUGAAAUUGCUUUUUAAUCAGGGCUUUUGUAGUGCUUUUUCAAAAUAUAUUGACAAUAUGUGUUACCAAUGGUCUUCCAUGGUUAAAGACAAGCAACAAAAUCUCUUAUAACAGCUUAUUUUCUCAUGUAUUGUAUGGAAUAUGUGGCUCCACUGAAAUGAUGUCAUUUUUAAUGACGCUGCCCCUAACCUUCAAAUCUAUUUUUUCAUGAUGCGUCAAAGUAUUGCUUCAUGGCUGAGGCUUCAUUCUAGCUUUUUAAAGCUUAAUAUAGAGAAUGUUCAGUAGGGAGGAAAUGAUUUUUUAUGUUUUUUAUUUGUUCCUCCUAAUUGUUACGCUCCCUUGUUUCAUGCAGCAGCUUUUAUGCUUUUUUUUUUCUUUAUUUAUUCAUCUAAUGUAAAUUAUGCUAUUAUCUUAAUACCCAUUUUCUUAAUAAAAAUUUCGAUUAUUACCAAAAAAAAAGAUGGCUAACUGUAAUUAGAAUGAUGGUAAAUGUUUCUUCUUUUCACAGUAACAAAUCUCUGAGACCUUACAUCUCUAGUUAAUUAUAACUACCUUACCGGUCAAAAUGUUCUUUUUCUGUACCUGAUGAGUGAUAUUAUUUCUGAGAUUUUUGAACAUGUAAUGACGGAAGCCUGCGUUGGACUGGUUCUCUUUGUUACGUUACUGGAGUCGCAAUGUUUCGAGUUAUCGGACCAAAUUAAUUCUCUUUCUUUUUGCAGCAAAGCUGUAUCUCUUGCUACUUGCUAGAGGCGUAAUCCCAGGCUACCACUGUUUUGGUGUUGCCUCUCUCACCAUUGUUAUUAGGUUGAAUUAAAUACCAGAAGAUUUCUGGAUGUGUAAUGACUGUAUGAUUAAACUUACCAAUGCACUGUCAAGGCUGUGGCGCGUCAACUGCAUGUGCCGGCGGGCGUCACCAUUGUUCCACCAUGUGCCGUUGUAGCCACUAAGUGGCCAAGAUUUUUUAAAUGAGAAGGUAAAUUACUAAUAAAUAUUUGAUAUUAUGUAUUAUGUAUACAUGCAUUAUAUAGAAAAAUCAAUUUGAAAUAUAUGUACUAACUCAUAUUAAAUGAAAUUAAUUUAAGAGUACUUUUAAAAUGAUAAAAAAAUUACAUUAUAAUUGUUCUUUUCGGGUUUUUAUAUUUUGAAACUGUUUCAUAAUAACUUCAUUAUCAAUCUCAUUAAAGAUAUUUUUCUAAAUUUAUAUAAUUAAAUUGUCAUUUAUCCACUUAUCUCCUAUCUUAUAUUGCAAUCUACUCUUGAAAACAUUCAUGACAGAUAAAACUAUUUUCACUAUAGCAGUUACAACUAGUAAAAAUAAUGACAAUUUGAUAAGUAUAUAUACCAAUAAAAAUAUUAAAUUCUUCUUUGUUUUUACCAUUUAAUUUCUCCUCAAGACUAGCGGCAAUAAAAAGUUCUCUCUGACUAGAAAGUUUCAAAUGGUAGAAGGUAAACUCUUUAAUAUUACAGAGGAGCUAAUGAAUCAAAGAAUCGAACAUAGAAAGUUUUGAUGGUAUAAACACAAACCACGGAAGCAGCAAUAAAAAGUGCUCUCUGGCUCUAUGGUUUCCUUCUUUAUAUGCGUUGAUUAGUUUUUUUUUUUGCCAUAGAAUAAAAUCAUCAGAUGUCCCUUUACUUCUUUAUCUGUUAAACAUGAAUAAAAGAAAAAUUUGAGACAACCAGCUUAUAAUUCAAACACCAAAAGUGUUUUUUAAUAGAUUCAAAGAUUAAAAAAAAUUACUUUGAACUUUGCAAGGAGAGAAUGUAGAUAGUCACAGUAGAACACAUUAAUAUAUUGUCUCUUGAUUUUUUAUCUUUUACAAAAUAUAACUUAAGUUAUUAUAUUAAUAUUUUAACGUAAAAAUUAAUUUUUUUUUUAAAAGAAGGGGGCAGCUGGCCCCUUAUGCCCCAGUGGCUCCGCCCCUGGCAGCCACCACCAAUUCCAGCAGCUCCAGCUUUUUUCUCCAUUUCCUCAUGUCCAAAUUUCAAGCUCAGCAUGACAUUUUGAGUUUAUUUUUCAUGAAUUAUGUUUGUAUUUUGACAAAUCCAACAAUUAUGAUUUGAUUUAGUUGUUUCUGGUUAUGGGACACAAUGUGGUUUUUUUUAUUAAAAACAAAAAACAGAGAGAAUGCAAGAAAGAAAGUCACAGCUACAUUUGAUAGAAUAAAUGUAAGUAGGAAAUAAAAUCCAACUCAAGAAUAGUUACAAAUGAGUUCAAUCCAUUUACAGAAAAAGGGUAUAUAAAAUAUAUUGGUCUGAAGAAUCCUCUGUCUGGAAGUUCUUUGAAUGGGGCUGUGAUGGCAUUUAGAAAGCAGAGGAACUAGGGGGCUUGUAGCAGAAAUCAUAUUUAUUGUUGAAGAUUUUUUUGUGUUCGGUUUAGAUAACUUUAUUUGGAUUUAAUCCACAAUGGGUAUCAUCUCUUAUAGAUGAAUGGUUAAGCUUCCAAGUCUACCAUUCUCUCAUGUAUUUGGAUUUAAUCCACUGAAACUGAGGUUUAAGAAUUUCUUGUUGUGAAUUGCAGAAAACAGUUGAUUGAUCUUCACUAGGAUGGCAAUUGGAAAUGAAUGGAGGAAGCAUCAAGAUCAGUGGCUUGUUUGAAGGCAGAUAGACCCUUUGAUCGUGAGAUGAUGCCUUUAGAUGAGAAAGGAUGUGAGAAAGGUAUAUCACAGCUGCAUUUGAUAGAAUAAAUGGUAAGUAGUUUGUUUUUUAAUUAAGUAUUUCAAUAUGGCAAAGAUAGGGUGUAAUUUACCAUACUUUAGUCUUAUUCCAUUCAAUAUAAUUAUGGAUACUAUAGAGCAUAUACGUACUUUGAUCUUAAUUAGUCCUUGGCUUAAAACGAAUUUGGUGCAGAUACAGAUUCUAAAGACGUCCAACUCCAACAAGCCCUAAAAGGACAUCAUUGGAUAAAUACCAAGGAGCUUGUGCAUGAGCAUUGUUUUGUUCACUCUGUGGCAGAGGCCUCUCCACAACUUCUCAGCAGGAAAGCUAUUAUUUAAGUUGCAACGCAGUGCGGUUCUAUAAACUAACUAGUUUAUAGCAAUUGCAAAUGAAUGGACCCUUUGAUCGUUAGAUUAUGCCUUUAGAUGAGGCUCGACAUUAUAGAGGCAUAAAAGAGAGAGAGAUACAUCACAGCUGCUUUUGAUAGAGUAAACAGGUCACAUAUUAUUUACACUCAACCUUAGCAAACACCAAAGCAAAUAAUUAAUACACUCAAAGCGAAAAAAUAAUGUGAGAAAUCUUUUACCAAACUGCACCCAUCUUCUCAUCCCCGUAACGAUUCGUUAGAAUGGGGCUCCUUCUUAUGAUUAAUUCCUGUAGAGGCGCUGCCAAAACAUAGUCUGGUAGUGCUCUCAACAACGGGCAAGUAUCAAUAAUCAACUCUUGAAGUUGUGUUGGCAUCUUCUUCUCCCACUCUCCUUUCAAUUCCAUCCCACUCUUCUACUUCUGUGAGAUCCAUAAUCCAAAGUUUUUUCAAUUUGGGGAAAGCAGUGACCCUUGCAAUUUCUCCUUCACUAAUACUGGCAUUCUCAUCUUUUUCUAUACCUAAAAAUCCAGCAUCCAGCCUUCUCACCUUCAUCGACCUCAAUACCAGGCUUUCAUGGUUGGGCAAUCUUCCCAACGGAGGCAAGACCUCCACGUUUGUACAAAGACCGAGUGUAAGCACCUGUAAUCUGGUUAAUGUCAUCAUCCAAUUUGGCAAAUCCAACCCUCCGUACCUAGUUAUGGUUAGAUUUUCCAAGGAUGACGGAGGCUGUAAAACUUCAAUUAAAAUGUUGUUCUCCCGGUUGAAGUUGAAAUCCAAUUGCAAACAAAGUAGGCGAUUCUUAUUCUUGAGUUGUACUUCUUUCAUUGUCUUUUUCUACUCUUUCAUAAUUUAAGGCACUUCUUUCUUCUUUUAGCUAGAAACAUAAUGCAGAUGCAGAGAGUGAAGAGUCGACAUGCAGAUGCAGGAACAUAGGAAGAGAGUUGUUUGGUUACUAAAAUAAGGGCUAGGGUUAUGAAAUCUGGAAAUUGAAAUUCGGAUCGAAAUUAGUGAGGAAAUCAGCAUGCUAGAUUCAGCAGCGUUUGGGGUCAGAAUGGCAUUGUUGGGAAUAAGACAACAAAUUAUGCGUAGCUUAGCAGCCAUUGUUGCUGCUUCAGGAACACCAAACUCCCUUGUCAAAAAACUGCAUUCAUAUGCAUUUUGCAAUUAAGGCAUUAUGCUUUAAACUCAUUCUAUUUGCCUUCCCUCACACAAAAAAGAAAAAAAAAAGGUUAUUUGCUGUCGUCACUGGAUUAGUUUCAAACCCAAAAGUCUCGUUGCGUUCUGUUUCAAUUCAGUCAGUCUUUAUUAGUCAAUGCUUCGCUGCACUGAAAAAACACCAUAUGCACCUCAUUGCAGAGUGAGGUCAUAUGUCCUACAAAAAUGGAUUUUGAACAUAAUAAUUAGAAGGAAAAAAAAAUUAAAAGUGAGCAUAAUUGAUCAUCGUGGAUAUAAUAAUAAUAUUUAAUAAAAUGAAUUAGCUUGUUAACUCCUAGAAGUUUUUAUAAAAACUAAUCUUGAAGUACAAGUAAUCCCUUCGCUCAUCAACUUCGCUGUGAAAAAGCCCAGAGUACUCAGCUUGGGCUUGUGUUCCCUCAUUAUGACUUGGUGAAUUGGGCAAUCUAAAUACUUUUGGGCUCUGUGUUUUAAUGGGUUCCAAGGGGAAGAAAACACAACGAUUCUUGAACAAGGAUUUGUGUCCCGUGCGCACUUGAACGAUGGGGGUCUGUUUGCAUUUUGUCAAAAGAGAUGAAAUUCUAAUCAAUGAUGAUGAUGAAAAAAAUAAAUAUAUAAAUUACUAUGUGCAUUCUAUAAUUUAGUUAUAUAAUAUAGUAGAUCUUUACAAAUUAGUAAUUUCAACUUACCAGUAGAAAAAUUAUAGUAGAUCUUUACCAUGAUAUUAUCGAAAUAAAUAAAUAAAUAAAAAUAGAUACACUUCAACACGUCCAUACACUCCUUUUUUAAAAAAUAAUUAUAAUAAAAUUAAUUAGUUAUUAAUUAUAAAAAUCAGACCUAUGAGUUAUGUCUAAGCUGUUGAAAAUAGUAAAGAUAAAGUAAUUAGAAGUGACAAUGAAAUUAUUAGUUGAUCAUCGAGUUGUUUUACUAGAAUCCAAAUCACUUAGCUCAAAUUACUAAUAACAAUUAUAAAUUUACACCAAAUUUGAACAAAUUUCUACCAGCCGAUGUGACUAAACUCAAAUCACUCCUAGGAAUCUUAAUAUAAACCCAUUUACUACUAGACCAGCACCUCUUUGGCUAAAAUCCACGUUGCUUUCCCACACCAAUCAUCAGCUUCUUCAAUUACAGUGCUACAAGUCCAUGUCUCUAUACCUAUUGUAACAUAUUCUACAAACAUACUGUUUUACUGUAGACUGCAAUGUUUUAAGUGUUUUUUUUUUAUUAAGUUGUUUUAUUUUUUUUAACGGUUUUUUUUAUGUCUUUCAGAAUAUUUUUUUUGCUUCGUUCUUUGUUUUUUUUUCUUUUAACAAAAGUUUUUUGUUUAAUUUAGUUUAUUAAUGUUUAAUUUUUUUAUUUAUUUAUCAGACUUUCAUGAUACAUUUUCCAGAUUUAACGGGUUAACCUGGUUUGACAAGUUAACCCAUAAUUUUUUUUUUUGCUUUUUUUAAAUUAAUUUUUUUGCUUUAGUUUAUUUUAUUAAUGUUAAAUUUCUUUCUAUUUAGUUAUCAGACUUUCAUGACAUAUAUCUAGAGUUUCACGGGUUAACACGGUUUGACGGGUUAACAUGGAUUUUUUAUUAUUUUUUUCUUUUUAAUUAAUUUUUUUCGUUUAGUUCAGUUUGUUAAUGUUCACUUUUUUUUUUAUUUCGUUACCAUACAUUCAUGACACAGAUCCCGGGUUUAACGGGUUAACCUGGUUUGACAAGUUAACCUGAAAUUUUUUUUUUUUGCUUUUUUUUUUUUAAAUUUAGUUUAGUUUGUUAAUGUUAAAUUUCUUUCUAUUUAGUUUUUUUUUCUUCAUAGAGGUUUUUUUCUUUUAUUUUUUCUUUUUAAUUAAUUUAGUUUAUUAAUAUUAAAUAUUUUUCUAAUUAGUUCUCGGCUAAUGCCUUUAGUUUUUCUUUUUGUUUCUUUUUGUUGUUUUUUUGCCUUUGACUGUGGACUGCACAAUGCAGUCCACAAUAAAAAGGUUGAUGCCUUUUGUUUUUUUUUUCUUUUUAAUUAAUUUUUUUUGUUUAAUUUAAAUUAUUAAUGUUAAAUUUUUUUUCUAUUUAGUUAUCAAACUUUCAUGAUACGAAUUCUGAGUUUGACAUGUUAACCUGAUUUGACGAGUUAGCCCAGUCAACUCAAUGAAUCACACAGAUAAAUUACACGGAAUCAGUAAAAUCAAAAUAAAACGUGUUAAUCUACUUUCUUAUGUUAUGAAAGGAGAUGAAUCCAACAAAAACAUAAUAAGCCACAGUUAAUUUUUUUAUCUUUGAGAUAAAAAAAUAUUUUUGAAAAAAUUAAAUUUUUUAUUAAUUUAUAAUUUAUUUAUAUUUUAAAAUAAUUUUAAUGUAUUAAUAUUAAAAAUUAAUUUUUAAAAACAAAAUUUUAAUUAUUUUUAAAUAAAAAUAUUUUAAAAAAUAAUUAUUAUUUUAAUACCAAAAACGCUUUUGCCUGCUUGGGAGUUAUGGUUGCGGUUGCUUUUCAAAAUGUUUUUUAUUUAAAAAUGUAUUAAAAUGAUGUUUUUUUUAUUUUUUUAAAAUUAAUUUUUAUAUCAGUGCAUCAAAAUAAUCUGAAAAAACUAAAAAAAUAUUAAUUUAAAUAAAAGAAAAAAAUUAAAAUUAAAUAAAUAUUUUUCAAAACGUUUUUAAAACAUAAAAACAAAUAGAAAUAAAUGCUAAAAUAGGAAAACAAACCAACUCUUUAUUAAAUGACAUUAUUUUUGAGAUUUUAUAUAUAUAUAUAUAUAUAUAUAAAAACUUUGGUGGACACACCAAUCAAUCCAUUCGAUUGGCCACCCAAUCUUGGGCAAGAUCGACCGUGGGUUGUAUCUUAUUACUAUGGUGAUAAGUAAUCACUCGAAAGUUCAAAACUAGCUUGACCCAUAAGAAUAUAUAUCGGAAUAAGUUAAGACUAUGAUGCCAACUUUAUUUUUUUAAAAAAAUAAAAGGCAUAAAUCAUUAAUAAAAAUCUAAAAGGUAUGAAAUUUUUAUUAUGUGUGUACCAUUGUUCACCCUUCCAUAUUUUAUUAUAGAUAAUCUAUUGUUUAAAAUUUUGUCUUUUUAAUCUGGGCCUUGAUUUUUUUUACACGAUUGCAUUCUUUUUUAACCAAAUUAAAAAGCAACUUUAUCAAAUUCGCCGACUACUGAUAAAAUUAAAAAAGAGAGGACUAAAAUAGAAAAGGUGCAAUAAAUGGAUGAUGAUUUCAAAGUUCACACAAAAAAUCAAUUUAGUCCUCACACUUUAAAAAUUAUACAUAUUCGAUUUUUCAAUAUUUUUUUAAAUUCAAUUUUAGUAUAAAAUUUCACUUUUGUUAUAUUAUAGUUCAUGGUUUGAGAGAUAAGAGAGCAAGGUCACCGGAUUCCAAAUCUAGACAAAAAAUAUUGUUGGCGUCGAUUUUGACCAUAAAAAUGAUCGAUUUAUAUGUCAAAUGAUUUCAUUUGAUGAUGGGAUUUCAGCUUAAGUGUUUUUUACUUUAAAAAUAUAUAUGGGCUCAAGAGAUUGUUCAUUUUUGGUUGAUUUUGAGUUUUGAGAUAGUUUUUUUUAUGUCAUAGACAUGUUUAUCAAAGUUCAUAUGUUUUUUUCUAGGUAUUUUGGGUAAAAAAAAAUUAAAAAUGAGUUUUUGAAUGAAAAAACCUCAAAUCUUGAUUUUUCUGCCACCACAAUAAUCAAAAUAUGAGGAAAAUCAUACGAUGCAUCAUCUAAUUUAAUUUUCUUUCAAAAAGAAAGGAGGGGGGGGGGGACUUUGCAAUGAAAGAGAAUUAUGGGUCUAAGCAUGUGGGCCUACCUUGACAGACUUGUACACGGGCCCUAACAAGAUUAGUCGAAUGGGGUGGCUCGGCUUGUCAAGCCUAGUAACACUUGAGCUUUUUUUUUUUUUUUUUAAAUUAAUACUUUUUUAUAUUCUUUUUUUCAAGUUUAAUAUUUUAUUUAUAAUUAAAUUAAUAUAUUUUCUCUCUUUUAUUUUGUUGAUAUAGCCUCUUUAAAAUUACAAUUAUUUUUUAAUUAUUUUGUAUGCAUUUAUUUUUAAAAUAUAUUAUUAUAAUUCAUCUAUAAAUGUUUUUUGUGUUUUAUAUGAAUAAAAAAUAUUUAUUUAUUUAUUUAUAAUAUUUCUAACAUGUGUAAUCUUACAUGAUAUUGUUUUUAAUUCAAUCAAUUUUACAUGUAUUUAUUUUUAUUAUUGUUUAAUUGAAUGAAAAUUUGAUUUUGAUAAACAAUGAUAUUUAAUACAAUCAGAUGAAAUGCUUGUAUUGUAAUGUUAAAGAUCUUGAUUUAUAUAUGUUUAUCGAUAUUUCAAUUUUAUCUUUAUUUAUUGUUAAUAAUAUUUUAUUUUUUAUUUUUUUAAUACACAUUAUUCUCAAUAUAUUUGAUUAUAUUUAUGCAUCAGUUUUUUUUUAUGCUUAUAAUUUUUUUUAUGUACAAAUACAUGUUGGAAAAAUCUUCAUAUAUCAUUUUUUUAUAUAUAAAAAAUAUGUUUGAUGCACUAACACGUGAGAGCUUUCACUUUUAAUUUGCAUAAUAAAAGAUUUGUUUUUGUCCUUUUUUUUUUUAUUGAUCCUUUUAAUAUUGCACUGAUCUUAUAUUGAUUUUUACGAUUUGAUUUUAUGCCAAUGAUGGGACCUUUUAGUGCUGGGGAAAUAUUACGUGCUUGGUUGAUUCUCAAUUUUUAAUAAAAUCAAAAUCAAUUGCAUUCGUAUAAAAGAACUAGAAAUUCAGGUAUUGGAAUUGAAAGACUAAAUAAAUGUGCUAUUCCUUUUGUUUGCUAACAUUGAGAAUUGAUUUGCAUAUUCAAUGAAAAAAAAAUCAAAUUCAAUUUUAGCAGUGGAUUGAUUGCCAUGAUCUAGCUAGCAGAAUUUGCUAGUGUUUUUUUAAUUAAUUUUUUAAUUUAAUCAUUUUAUAUUUAAAUUGUUGAAAUUUGACAUAAUAAUUUUUUUGUAAUUGCUUUGUGGGGUUAUUUUAACAUUAUAACUUGAGUUAUGGUUUUAACAUACUAAUUAAAGUUGAUUCGAAUUAAUUUUUAUAUAUUGAAUUAUAUAAGAAUUGAAUUUGUAAUUAUUCUUUUGCGAGAACUUUUUUAAGCAGGUCACGCUAACCUUUUUUUUAUCUUAGCCUGCAACGGCAUAACACGAACAAUCUAUCUAGUGUUAUUACUGAAAGAUCACAUGGCCAACCCAAAAAGUUCACGAAGAACACACAAUCAAAAACGCAAAAAAACAAAAGGGUUUCUUGAAUUUCAACCAAAGAAUAUAACAAAACCGAUAAAACAAAAUAAUAAAUGUUUACUUACAGAAGAUUCAUCGACUAAAAUAGAUGGCAAUUUCUUCUCAGUUGCAAUAACAACAACGUUUGCCGCUACAACACCAAAAAAAUAAUAAAAUCAACAACAUAGUACAUUCGAAAAUGACAAGAAAAUGAGAUGGUAGAAGAAACCAAAGCGAAGAGGUCACAUAGAGUAAAUGGUAAGAAUUAACACCAAAGCAAAUAAUUAAUACACUCAGAACCAAAUCUUUUACCGUUAAGAAUUAAUACUGGUAGAAGAAUUUACCUCUAUAUCAUCAAAAUUAAUAUUUGGGAUGUGAGAAAUCUUUUGCCAAUCUUCACCCAUCUCCUCCUUCCCGUAACGUUUCCUUAGAAUGGAGCAACCAUUUAUGUAUAAUUCCUGUAGAGGCGCUGCCAAAACAUAGUCUGGUAGUGCUCUCAACAACGGGCAAUCAACAAUCAUCAACUCUCGAAGUUGUGGCAUAAUGGAUAUUAUUGAAGUUGUGUUGGCAUCCCACUCUUCUACUUCUUGGAGAUGCCAAAAACCAAGAUGUUUUAAUUUGGGGAAAGCAGUGACCCUUGCAAUUUCUCCUUCAUUAAUACUGCCAUUCUCAUCUUUUUCUAUACCUAAAAAUCCAGCAUCCAGCCUUCUCACCUUCAACGAGCUCAAUACCAGGCUUUCAAGGUUGGGCAAUCUUCCCAGCGGAGGCAAAACCUCCAGGUUUUCACAAUCAAAGAGUUCAAGCCCCUGUAAUCUGGUUAAUGUCAUCAUCCAAUUUGGCAAUUCCAACCCUCCGUAACUAGAUAUGGUUAGAUAUUCCAAGUAUGACGGAGGCUGUAAAGCUUCAAUUAAAGAGCCUUCAUUCGCUUGCAACUCUGUUUUCUCUCUGUCGAAAUACAAUCGCAAACGAAGCAGGCGCUUCUUAUUCUUGAGUUGUGCUUCUGCAGCGUCACUCGCAUCUUCUUUACCUCCUCCUAGAUUCCGUAUAGUAAGACUCCCUCCAAUGUGAUUUAAGUCUUUUAAUUCUCUUAGAUUAGCUGCUUUACUUUCAUUCUCACCACCACCACACACAAUAAACAAAUCUAAUGUUUGAAGACAUGUUAUCCUCUCUAUUCCCUUUGGUAUGAAGACCACUCCUGAACCAAAAAUCCGGAGAUGCCUCAAUUUGAUAAGUUUUCCAAUCGUCUUGGGCAAUUCCUUGAGAGACCGACAGAAAGUAACAUCUAGGGAUUGCAGAUUGCAUAAAUCACAACUGGUUUCUGGCAGGGACUCCAACUCUCCACAUUGUGCCAAAUUGAGGUGUCUCAAAUGUAUCAAUUUCCCUACCUCGUUUGGUAUUUCUUUGAUUGAAGACCCUGACAAAUUCAAUGACCUGAUGCAUGUCAACUGCUUGAACAAAUCAGGCAGUGCAGCUCCAAGCGAAGGGUCUCUAGUGUCGAUCAAGAGGCUGCGAAGACCUUUUGCUUUGUGAAUGGACUUGGGAAAAGAGGUCUCCUCUGACAGCAUCAUGCUUAAAUGACGAACCCUUUCAAUUGAAGUCUCCAUUGUUGCUUCUCCAAGUGUAUUGACAUCCACUGUUAGACAUUCAUUUUUUGUCAUAUAUUGGGCAAAAUCAUGCACUAUAUCAUGCAUCUUGAAUCUAAUAUCUUCUCGAUCAUACGUCUCAAAAUCUUGGAAGAAAGAGCGCGCUGCCAAGACUUGAAAGUACUGCUCUCCUACAAGCUCCAUAUCUCCACCUGAAGUCUCCUUGAGGUAACCUUGAGCCAUCCACAUCUUCACCAAUUCAUAUUUUCCCAUCUCGUAGUCUUUUGGAAACAUGGCACAAUACAAGAAACAUCGUCUUACCACAGAAGGUAAAUCGUAGUAACUCAAAAGCAAAGGUAUAAAUAUUCGUCUUUCAACCUGAUCUCUAUCAACCUCAUCUAGCCUCCACAGUUCGCUAGAUAAAACACGAUCCCACUCUUCUCUUGUUCUUUUAGACUGCAUUAGACCUCCUAAUACCUUGGCAGCUAGAGGCAAGCCCUUGCACUUGUUUGCAAUUUUAUCGCCGAUAUCUGUCAAUCUUUCGCGCUCAUCUUCGCUUCUUUCCUGGAAUGCCACAUGAUUGAAUAUUGACCUGCAUAUCUCAUCGGACAAUUUCUCAAUGUUGAUCCGGUGGUCAGUUCCCAUCAUCGUUGCCACAGCGUCCUUACGAGUGGUCACUAGAAUUCUGCUUCCUCGUGCACAGCCUGUGAGAGAUGGUUUCAGUUGUUCCCAUUGUCCAUGAUUUUCUGUCCAGACAUCAUCAAGGACAAGAAGGAACCUCUUUCCCUUAAUGGAUUCAGAAACCCUUCGCAAAAGGGAUUGCAAUCCUACCAAAUCAGAUGCCCUCCCUUCAAGCUCCUCCAGGAUAGCUUUGGCUAUUCUAACCUCAUCAAAUGGUUCUGAAACACACACCCAUAUCUUUUUCUCAAAAUGAGCCGUAACCUCUGAAUCAUUAUAAGCUAGUUGGGCGAGAGUUGUUUUUCCAAUUCCUCCCAGCCCUACUAGAGAGAUGACAUCCACGUCCCGUGCUUCUUGACUACUUUCAGCCAGCAACUUGCUUACAACAUUUCUCUUUUCACCAUCUCGACCAAUCACGCUUGAUUCAUCAACAAAGGAGGUAGUUGUUAGUCGCUGGAGUUCAUCAGUGGCUUUGUACAGAUCAAAGCCAUACUUAGCUCUCUGUUUGGCAAUGUCAUCCACCUUUUCACAAACUUCUUUGAUCUUCAGGGCAAUGUCGCGACGUCGAACCACUUGAUUGAAACAAAAGCAAGGAGAUCCCAGGAAGGAACAUCGUAUCUUCUGUCGGCUGUGAGUAUUUUCUUCAGCUUCCUCCAUUUUCCAUCUAAGAAUUGCAGUGCUCCAUUCAUCUAGCACGUCAUCCAUAUCAUAACAUGCAUCUUUGAGCUUGUCUACCCAAUCUCUUACAGCCUUAUCCUUCACUUGUUUUCUAUCUGCAUCUUCAAGGACAGAUUGGAUAUCAAGGAGAUUGCUUUUCAGCUUGUCACAUUGUUUCUUCACACCCACUACUAGGUUCACCUUUUCUUGUACCUAUUAGUGUACAAAGGAAAAGAAACGUUAAGCAUAGGAAACAUUUCUAUGACAAUUUCACACCCCCUACUAGGUUCACCUCUUCCUGUACCUAGCUAUUAGUGUAGAAAAGACAAGUUCAAGCAUAGGAAACAUUUCUAUUUUGUAUUAAUAUAUUUUAUUGUGAAAUGGAUUUACUAUAUUAAUAAUUUAUAUAUAAAAUAUUUAUUAUAAAUGAUAAUAUUUCUUUUUUCUUUUUAUCAUCAUGAUGAUGAUAUCAGUCUGCACUAUGCUACUGUACAAGAAGGUAUAAAAUGAAUCUUAAAUGGUAAAAUGUAAACCUGUACGUAUGUAUAUAUAUAUAUAUAUAAAGAGUUCAAUGUUCUCACGUGAGAAGGAUUUCUCCUUUGAACCGACAUAAAAUCUGGUUUUCAUUUUACAUUAAACUAUAGAUAUAUGGAUGUAUAAAGGCAAGUGAAUAAAAGGAUCUGCAUUUAUAUAUUUGUGAAGUCAAUUUAGAAAUAAAGGCAUGAUAAUAAGAUUGUGUGAUAACUAUAUAGUUUUAAUUCACACCAAAUACUCACUCGCUAAUCCUUCGAACUUUUUAUUGAUUAUUUUACCUUUAAUAGUUCAGUUUAAAGAGAAUUGGCAACUCUUGUUCAUCUUUUUUGGUUUUCUUAUAUUUGGAAUGAUAUAUUUUCUUUAGGUUAUUUUUAGAAAUAUGAAAACUAAUAAAACUAGAAAAAUAAGUCUUUAAUAAAAUCGAAAUAUAUACUUGAGGAUUUAAAAUAUUAUUUUUAUUUUUUCAAGUUAAAAGUAUUCUUUUUAUGAGAGGAAGAAAAAAGGCUUGAACGUUAUAUAUAUUUCUUAUCUGUGCUUAGGUAAAUCAGGUUAUUGCAGAUGGCAGAAAAAUACCUGUUGAGCAACGAUCGUGGUUAACUGCUCCAAGAUCGGAGAUAGAAGUGCCUCAGCCAUCGUCUGUUUAGUUCUGAUUGGAGAGAGAGAGAGAGAGAGAGAGAGAGAAGCAGUGAUGAUAGGAAGACAGAGAGAAAGAGAGGGUGAAGGGAAGGAGGCGGCUGAUUGUGAAUGGAUUAAUAUACUUGGGGUUUCUCGUUGCAGGUGGAGUUCUUGCAACUUGUAGUUUUUUUUACUAGUGAAGCUUUGUAUUUAGUGUCUCCACAGAAAAAUAUUUUUUAUUUAGUGGCUGAAAGAUUCACAAUUUAUAUUAUAAUUGAUGAUUUUUAUUCUAUGAAAGAACAACAAAUAUAAUUAAAAUAAUAUAUAAAAAUUAUUUUUUAUUAUUUUUUAUUUUAUUUCAAAGUUUAUUAAACAUAAAAUAAUGUUUCGCUUUAAUUAAUGUUUCUUAUAUACUUUGUAUGUUUAUAUUUGAUAGGUAUAGAGAUCAACAACAUUAAAAUGAUGAAUACAUCAUGAAGUUAAAAUUAGCUUCAUUGUUUUGACUUAAUUUGAUAUUGCUCCAAACCUUUUAUAUUAUAUAUUUAUAAUAAGUUAUUUGAAUAAAACUAAAUCAUACUGGUUUUUUUUACAACUCAUAUAUAAUAAAUUAAAAUAAAUAUUAUAUUUUGUUUUAUUAUUUUUGGCCAUUCCAAAAAUAUCAAGGGAAAGUCUUCAAAUGCACAGAGUAAAUCGGAACCCACAGUGAAGUAGCUCUUCAGUAUCUUCUAAGCUCAAGCUGUCAAACACAGACCAAAAGCAAACGUGUCAUAACCAAAACAACCCAAUGAAUGGUAGAUGUUAAAAUGAGCAUUCCAUUUUCUGAAUGACAAAAAUCCCAGUGCCUAGCAAUGACUUACAUAAUUAAUUAAAAUGGAUUUGUUAAAAUAUAGUAAAAUAUUAGACCGUUUAAGAAUUAACACUGUUGGGUUUCGAUAACUUUAUUUGGAUUUAAUCCAUUAAAUCAAUGGGUAUCAUCUUUUAUAGAUGAAUGGUUUAGCUUCCAAGUCUACCAUUCUCUCAUUUAUUUGGACUUAAUCCACUGAAACUGAGGUUUUAUUUGUAAGUAUACACAUCAGGCUCAAGCUUAUCUUCUUGCAUCUGCUCAAAUAUUUCUUCUGCCUUCUCACAGAGUCCCUCUCUAGCAAACGCGUUCACCAGAGCUGUGUAUGUGCAGAUAUCUGGUCUGCAUUUUUGACUUCUCAUUUCGUUAAACAACUUCAAGGCCAUGUAAGAUUGACUUGCCUGAGUACAGGAAAAAGAUUAGCAAAAUGAGUUUUUAAGGAUCCUAAACACCACUGUUGUCCAGUUAUCAGAAUUUAUAACCAUAUCCUUGAAUUUAUUCUGAUAAUUGUUUGAAAUUGAAUGCAUAUAUUUCAAGUUGUUCGUUGUAUCACUGUAGACUCGUAGACGUACGAGUUACGCGUAAUUUUCUACUGGGACCAGUGGCAUUUCAAGAAGAUCAGAUUUGCAGAAUAAUUCAGAACCAAAUACCACUGAGCUUACCUUCCCAUGAAGGUUGAUCAACAGUGUAUAGGUGUCAGUAGAGGGCUGGCAGCCAUCAUUUUUCAUUCGCUGAAAGAUCUCAAUUGCUCUUUGAGGGUUUCCAGCCUUCGUUAACCCAUCAAUAUAAGCAUUGUAUACAAUUGCACCUGGCCAAAAUUAGAGUAUACGCUCACUUUUCACUCUUGAAUGUGCAUGCAAGUGUAUCAACAGAACAGCUUGAAAAACGAAAAUCUGAGAAGUGUAAAUAAGAGAACGAAACACAAAAGCAGAACUAAUGCCCUGUAUUUCACCACCACAAAAAGAAGAGAAAUAACCCACGCAAUCUCAUAAAGGAAAGCUACAGAAGCAAGUUUGUCAUCCAGGAGCCUCUAGCCUAAUCCAGUUCCGGUCUAGCUAAAUUAGCAAGGGGUCCCUCUUGGUUUAAUCAACCAUUCUCUAAGCAUGGUGAUGUAGAUAAGGAGUAGUAAUCACUACUAUUAUAGUAGCAACAAGAAAUAUGCAGACCAUGAACCAAUCUUCUCUUUUCCUACGUUUAGUAUACUUCACCCCCGAAAAGAAAAAAUAAAUACAGCUCUGUGCAAUUAUUGAGCGAGGUUUCAAAAUUUAAAACGAAUUUAACCCCACAAAAAAUCAAUUUUUGAGGAAAAGAAUCUUAAAAGUUGAAGAAAUUUUUGUUUUAUAAGAAAUGGUUGAUCCAAUAACUUCUUGAAAAUACAAUUUCCCUAAAAGCUAAGAAGAAAUGAAUUGGUAAACACAUACUUGGAGGAAGGCUAUACUUUCGCAUAUCAACAAAGGCAGCUUCAGCUUUUUCUAACAAUCCACAUGCACAGUAAGCCUUUAUAAGAAGGGCAUAAGUGUCUUCAGUAGGGAUACACCUGGCUUGAAGAAGAUCAACAUAUGUUUCUUCUGCCUUCUUGUACAAAGAUUUUUGCCCAUAAGCAUCUAUUAGUAAAUUGUAGCACAUGACAUCUGUCUGGAAGGAGCUCUUGUACAAUAUCCAUUGACAUAUCUGGAAAUUUUAGAGUUACACCCAACAAGAUUAUUAAGAAUUAAGAACAAACGAUAUCAAAAAUGUCUAUAUAAUAAAUAGAGACAGUAAAGAGAUUUGUUUCAUUUAGUUGUAGGAAAAUGCUGGUAUAUGAGAAUUCCAAACACCAACUGCAGCACCAACCACUUAAAGGAGAUUUGAACAAUCGAGGAUUCAGUCUUAAUGGUUGAAGAGAAAAAUACUGUGCAAAAUACUGUGCCACAAAAAUAUGUGCGUGCAAGGUGGUUUAAUCCAUCGCCUACCACCUUACACUAUGAAAGAAAUAAGGCACGAUUUACUCACCAAUGCAAUCGGAUCCCAUUGUUUAUUCAAACGAAGUUGGACGGCUACAUUAAUAAGAUCAUCCCAAGUCUCGUGAGUGACAGGAAGAGUAUCAAGAGCAGCCCAAACAUUAUUCGGAUCCACUUCUUUCCGCACAAAGUUCAGAAUCUGAUGAGCAACAGGACUUAGCACGGGAAAAUUCCAUCAACAAAUCCAGAUCCAUAUUUCCAUCCUUGUCCCCUCAAAGAGCCACCUAGGUAAAUUAGACGACUUAAUAAUUAAAGCCAUAUUUGCUUGAGAGUUAUAUGUAUGAGCACAAAGUGAAUUACUCCGUAUUACAUCGUUUCCUGGACAUCUUUUUGUGAUCAAAGAUUCGCCAUUUGCCAUGUUUGUCGAUAUAGACCCUGUCGCUUUUCCACUUUUUAACAUCUCCACUACUGGAAUUCUUUUCUCUGCGUCUGAAAUGACCAUUCCGGAUUCUUGAUUCUAUAAAAAUAUGAUUCAGAGUGCAUCUAACAAGCAACCUGCAAACACUAAUCAAGUAAACACACAAUUGCCAGCAACAAAAUACACACCUCUUAAUUUAAAGCCAUUACACGGAGGAAGCAACCAAAUAAAAUCCAUAUAAAGGAUGCUUUAGACUUCAAAAUAAUUGGACAAAGAGAGACACUAAAACUACUUUUAAUCACAAUAGCAAACACAUGAAAUGCAAACCAGAAAACCUAGUUAAAAAGAAGAAGAAAAGUAGUCAACUUUCCCUUUCUAAACCAAAUAUCUUCUCCCUUUCUUCCGCAAUAAUUCUUAACUGCUGUGAGUAUAGGUUGUAUUUUCAUUACAGAAUCAAAUAUUAGUCUAAUCUAUCUGAUUAAACUACAAAAAUCAAAAUUUGCAAGAUAAACAAGGCCACAACUGUUGAAGACUGGUUAGAGUUCAACAACGAUAAGCAUAGCACUCUGACAGCUAAAACUGGUCCAUCAUCUUAAAACUUAUGAAGUCACAGUAAGACUUUUUAGAUAAUGAUGAUUGCUCGUUCAAUACAUAUGAGAGCCAACAAAAUGCUAAAAUGUUUAAUUAACAAGAACAUAAAACAAAUUAGACAUCCUCUCUCAAGUGAACGUUGAUACUUAGCAAUUCCAUUGAAACCCAUUUCUCAGAACCAGAAAUUCCAUGAAAAAGCAAUAUUAUCCAGCAAGAGGAGAAAGAACCACCAGAAUUGAAGUUAAUAAAUACAGAAAAUAACAAGGCAGCAUGAACAGCAUUAGCAGUGGCAUUGCAUUACGAAAGAGAGGAAGGAAGGACACGACUUACAUGAAAGUAUAAAAGAGGAGUUUGGAGUUGGGUAUCUGUAAACAUCCAGCAAGCAAGAAGAUAUGUGAACUGAAGAGUGUUUUCUUGGAUAAUGGACUCCGUGGGUGAAGACCAGCACUGCCAGACAAAAGUAGCUUCUGUUUUUUUCUGUUUACUAAGGGACAAAAGCCUCAAAAUAUCUCUAACGAACUUAAGGAGUCAAACAAUAGCAUUAUUGUAGCCUCGUGGUGUCUGAGGUUGCAUGGGAUUCUAUAUUGAGACAGUAGCUGAUUAUACAAUGGUUGAUUUAAAAUAACCAACACUACCUUUUUAUACAAAGUGGGAUUGAUGAGGAUAUAAAUCUACACACUCCAACAUUCAAAGUCCCAAUCUUAGAGUCAUUGAUUAGUAUAGUAACGCCUCAUUGGCAAGAACCCAAAUCACUAAGCUCAAAUUACUAAUAAAAAUUACAAAUUUACACCGAAUUUGAACAGAUUUCUACCAACCGAUGUCACUAAAGAAAACACAAAAAAAAAAAAAAAACGCAAAAAAACAAAAGGGCUUCUUGAAUUUAAACCAAAGAAUAUAACAAAACCAAUAAAAAAAAUAAUAAAUGUUUACUUACAGAAGAUUCAUCGACUAAAAUAGAUGGCAAUUUCUUCUCAGUUGCAACAACAACACCGCUUGCCGCUACAACACUAAAAAAAUAAUAAAAUCAACAACAUAGUAUCUAAGCACCCAUCAACAACAUAGUGCAUUCGAAAAUGACAAGAAAAUGAGAAAAGAGAGAGAGGGAGCUUAAAUUGCACCAACCUUUGAUUCCGAGAGAAGUUUGGCCUGAUCCAACGGCAGUCAAUGCGUGCUCAAUCUGUACUAGCUUUCCGGUAGGACUGAAAGUAGUGAGAGAAAAGGAGUACUGGCUAUCACCCAUGGUUUAUUGCUUGAAGACGCAGAGAGGAAAAACUGUGAAUGCGAGUGUGUGGGAGGGAAAGACAGGGAUAUUUACUUGGGGUUUUAACUUUGCUUUUCUCGUUGGAGAAGAAGGUGUUUUCUUACGAGGGCUUUUACAAUGGAGUAUUAUGGGAUUUUAUGACGGCAGGUUGAUCCUCUGUACAUUGAGCUCAAUGAAGGCUCGGGACCAGUUUUGUUUUCAAGUAUUAUUAACAAAUAUUUAUUUAUUUAUUAAUAUACAUAAUUUUUAAUUUAUUUAAUAACAUUUAUAUAUAAUUUUUAAUUUAUUAUAUUUUUGAACUAGAAAAAUAUAUUUAAAGAACUGCAUAUAUAAAUUUUUAUAAAAAAUAAAAUAUUUGACUCACAAUAAAUUAUCCAUAUUUUUAUUAAAAAAAUAAAGUUGGGUAAACUCUUAAUUAGGCCUUGCUACUGAAUUUUGUUGUUGAUUUGUAAUUUAAUUAUUGUUGAAGAUUUUUUGUGUUAGGUUUGGAUAACUUUAUUUGGAUUUAAUCUCCAAAAUCGAAGAGUAUCAUCACUUAUAGAUGAAUGGUUUAGCUUCUCUCAUUUAUUUGGAUUUUAAUCCACUGAAACUGAGGUUUAAGAGUUUCUUGGAUUUAAUCCACUGAAACAGUUGCUUGAUCAAGAUCAUUGGCUUGUUUGAAGGCAGAUAAAGGCAUACAAAAAAAAAGCGAGAGAGAGCGAGAAAGAGAGGAUGUGAGAAAUAAUUAUAGAUAUGAGUUACAGUAGUUGAAACAAAUGAAUUACAGAUCAUUUUAUGGUGAGAGAGAAAGAGAGAGAGAGAGAGAGAAUGUGAGAAAUAAUUAUAUCAUCUUAGAUUACAGAUCAUUUUGAGAAAAUCUAAAAGAAAGUAUCAUCUUAGAUUAAUUAUAGAUAUGAGUUACAGUAGUUGAAAUUUCAAAGGCAAUUUUUUAGAGUAAAGAGGAAAUAAUAUGUUGAGAUGAUGCGAGAGCCCAAUUACAGUAAAGAGGUCAUAUAUUAUUUACACUCAACCUUAGCAAACACCAAAGCAAAACAAAUUAAAUUAAUACACUCAAAGCAGGUUCUAAAGAGUUGUGCCAAUCUUCACCCAUCUCCUCCUUCCCGUAACGUUUCCUUAGAUUGGGGCAACUCUUUAUGUGUAACUCCUGUAGAGGCGCUGCCAAAACAUAGUCCGGUAGUUCUCUCAACAACGGGCAAUUACUAAUCAUCAACUGUCGAAGAUGUGGCAUAAUGGAUAUUAUUGAAGUUGUGAUGGCAUCUUCUUCUCCCACUGAUCUCCUUUCAAUUCCAUCCCACUCUUCUACUUCUGUGAGACUCACAAUUUGUUGUCUCCGUGGACGUACCCGGUUUUUGGGAACCACGUAAAUCUGUUGUUUGUGUUUUAUUUGUGUUUGCUUUUGGUUCAGUAUGCAUAACAAAUUGGUAUCAGAGCGUUUGGGAAGCUAGAACACUGAAAAAAACACGUUUUUCAGCUCUCGGAUCGAAGUUGCAGAAUUUUCAAAGUUCUCAGAUCUUGAUUUUGACCACCUACAGAGAUUCCUCUCGUCGAUACGAGUCCGGCAAUAUAAAGAUCAUCGAAAUCGGAGUUAAAACGAUCCCUGUAGAGCUCGCCGAAGUUUCGCCGGAAAACUGCCGGAAAAACCAGACUGCCGGAAUUCUUGCCUGAGAAGACUGCCACGUCAUCCGCCACGUCACCAAACAGUGACAGAAUAUGCUCUUGACAGAAUGAGAAUAUUCCGUUAACAGAGACAGAAUAUUCCUUUGGCAGUGACAGAAUAUUCUCUUGACAGUGACAGAAUAUUCCCUUGGAUUUGACAGAAUAUUCUUUAUCAGAGACAGAAUAUUCCUUUCCUGAGUCAACUCGGUCAGAUUUGUUUUUUGGCCAACUCAGUGAUUUUAUAUCCCGUUUUUUGGCCAAGUUAAGCUUGUUCCUAGCAUUUUCAACCGUUCCGGACGCAACCGUGGUGUCCGUUUUGUGAAACAGCACACAGAAGUUACUGUUUUGGCUCUUUUGAGCAUAAAAUUGUGUGUUUUAACAAUUUCGGGAGUCCAUUUGUAAUCUAAAGGCGUCCUAAUGGCUGAUAUUCCAGAAGAAAAAUCAGCGGGGAAUGCUAGUAUACCUCCACAAUACAUCCCGGUAUCGAAUACCAAAUUUGAGGUGGAGAAGUUUGACGGGAAAGGUAAUUUUGGCAUGUGGAAAUGUGAAGUUAUGGAUAUGCUUGUCCAAAUGAAUUUGGAUUUCACUCUAGAAGAUAAACCAAGAGGAUUUGGAUGAGAAAAGCUGGGGGAGGAUAAAUCGGUUAGCUUGCAGUUCCAUCCGACUUUGUCUUGUAAAAGAUCAAAAGUACGCCUUUUCAGAACAAAACUCUGCAAAGGAAUUAUGGCAAGCACUGGAGGACAAGUUUAUGAAGAAGAGUAUAGAGAAUCGUCUCUACUUGAAGAAAAGAAUCUUCCGUUUUCAGCACAAGAAAGGUACUUCCAUGAAUGAGCAUCUGAAUGAUUUCAAUAAAAUGAUAGCUGAUUUGAAGAAUUUAGAUGUGGAAAUAGAUGAUGAAGAUAAAGCUCUGUUAUUAUUGAAUUCACUGCCUGACACAUAUGAACAUCUCGUCACCACUUUACUGUAUGGUAAAGAAAAGAUUAAAUUCAUUGAUGUGUCCAAUGCUUUGGUGAAUAAUGAGUACCGGAAGAAGGACCAGAUUGUUCACAAGGAGUCAACGUCAGAAGCAUUGACAGUUAGAGGCAGAACAAACCCUAGAAGAUUUCGAGGGCGAGGGAGAUCUCGCUCAAAAUCUAGAGGAGAAUCAUCAAACAGGCGAUAUCUUGCAAAAGAUGAGUGUGCCUUUUGUCACAAAAAGGGGCACUGGAAGAAAGAUUGUCCAAUCAAGGGCAAUAAGGAAAAAGAUGAACCAACUGUGAACGUUGCACGAGAAGAAGAUGAACGAGACUCUGCAUUCAUGGUCUCAUCACCAGAAAAACAUUGUGGUGAAUGGAUUCUUGAUUCUGCAUGUUCUUAUCACAUGUCCCCUAACAAGCACUUAUUCUCGAGACUUGAGGAGUUCGAUGGAGGAGUUGUGUUUAUGGGCAAUAAUAAUGUUUCUGAGGUCAAAGGGAUUGGGACUAUCCAUCUGAAGAUGCAUAAUGGGGUAGUCAAGACACUAACAGAGGUACGGUAUGUACCUGACUUGAAGAAAAAUCUCUUCUCACUUGGAGUCCUAGAAUCCAGUGGUUAUAAGAUUAUCAUGCAUGGUGGAGUCCUCAGAGCAAUCCGUGGUGCAUUAGUUGUCUUAAGAGGCACGAGGAUAGGAAACUUAUAUUUCCUAGAUGGAUCUACUGUUACUGGUAUAGCAGCUGUUUCCAAAAGCCUAGAAGAUGCUGAAGCAGAUAAUUCCAGACUUUGGCACAUGCGCUUAGGGCAUGCUGGUGAAAAGGCUUUGCAAGGACUAGUCAAGCAAGGUCUAUUAAAAGGCGCCAAGACUGGGAAGCAUGGGUUCUGUGAGCAUUGUGUUCUUGGAAAACAGACAAGGGUCAAGUUUGGCACUGCAAUACACAACACAAAAGGGAUUCUAGAUUAUGUUCACACAGAUGUAUGGGGACCUUCAAAGAAUGAAUCUCUUGGAGGUAAUCGUUGGUUUGUUACUUUUAUUGAUGAUUUCUCAAGACGAGUAUGGGUGUACAUGAUGAAACACAAGGAUGAGGUCCUUGAUAUCUUUCUGAAAUGGAAGAAAAUGGUGGAGACUCAAACGGGAAGGAGAGUUAAGACUCUUCGGUCAGAUAAUGGUGGUGAGUACACUUCAGAUCCUUUCUUUGAAGUUUGCCAGGAUGAAGGGAUCAAGCGACAUUUUACUGUGCGCAAAACACCACAACAAAAUGGAGUAGCAGAACGCAUGAACCGCACAUUGGUGGAGAAAGUCCGAUGUAUGCUAUCACAUUCGGGACUAAGCAAAGUGUUCUGGGGCGAGGCAUUAAGCUAUGCCGUCAUAUUGUUAAUCGGUUACCUUCAGCAGCAUUAAAUGGAAGAACCCCCUUGGAGGUAUGGUCAGGCUCUCCUGCAAAUGAUUAUGACUCUAUGCGUAUAUUUGGUUGCUCAGCAUAUUAUCAUGUUACUGAGUUAAACUAGAUCCUAGAGCCAAGAAAGCUAUAUUUUUGGGCUUUAGUGGAGGAGUAAAAGGUUACAGACUCUGGUGUUCUGAAUCAAAGAAAGUGAUUUUGAGUAGAGAUGUCACUUUUGAUGAGUCUGGCAUGUUACAGCAGGAGAAAUCACAGGAGAAGGAAAAACAGUCUGGUGAUGCACAACAGGUGGAGUUGGAGACUUCAGUCAUCCCUAUAAAGACUGUUCAGACAAUCCCUACUGAAGGAGAUUCAGAUGAAAGUUCAGAUGAAGAGGAUGCAACAACUCCAGCAACCACACAACAAGAAUCCAUUGCAACGAGUAAACCGAAAAGAGUUAUCAAGAAACCUGCUCGGUAUUGUGACAUGGUGGCUUAUGCACUUCCAGUGAUUGAUGAUGGAAUCCCCUACACCUACAAAGAAGCAGUACAGAGUGUAGAAAGUGCAAAAUGGAAAGAGGCAAUGGAUGAAGAGAUGAAAUCUCUCCACAAGAAUCAGACUUGGGAUUUGGUACAACUCCCUAAGGAAAAGAAGACAAUUGGUUGCAAGUGGGUAUAUGCCAAGAAGGAAGGUAAUCCUGGAAAAGACAACAUCCGAUUCAAAGCAAGAUUGGUAGCAAAAGGCUAUGCUCAGAAGGAGGGGAUAGAUUAUAAUGAGGUAUUCUCUCCAGUUGUUAAGCAUUCAUCAAUUCGUAUUUUGCUAGCCUUAGUUGCACAAUUUGAUUUGGAGUUAGCCCAACUUGAUGUGAAAACUGCCUUCCUACAUGGAGAUUUGGAAGAGGAAAUUUACAUGUCUCAGCCAGAUGGUUUCAAAGUCACUGGGAAAGAGAAUUGGGCUUGUAAACUGAAGAAGUCAUUGUAUGGCUUGAAACAAUCUCCUCGCCAGUGGUAUAAGCGAUUUGAUAAGUUCAUGACAGAACAUGGAUACACACGGAGUCAGUUUGACAACUGUGUAUAUUUUCGCAGACUUCUUGAUGGUUCUUUCAUCUAUUUGCUCUUAUAUGUGGAUGAUAUGUUGAUUGCAUCAAAGAGCAAGGUGGAGAUUGAUAGACUGAAAGCUCAACUGAGAACUGAGUUUGAAAUGAAGGACCUUGGAGAAGCUAAGAAGAUUCUUGGCAUGGAGAUUCAGAGAGACAGAAGAAAAGGCACAGUCUGUUUGACACAGACCCAAUACUUGAAGAAACUUCUACAGAGAUUUGGGGUAGAUGGUAAGACCAAGCCGGUAAGCACACCUUUAGCUCCUCAUUUUAAGCUAAGUGCUUCAAUGUCUCCACGCACAGAGGAAGAGCGCAAACAUAUGGCUCAAAUUCCGUAUGCAAAUGCAGUUGGUGCAUUAAUGUAUGCAAUGGUUUGUACGAGACCAGAUAUUUCACAUGCUGUCAGUAUGGUGAGCAGGUAUAUGCAUGAUCCGGGAAAGGGUCACUGGCAGGCAGUUAAGUGGAUUCUACGGUACAUUCAUGGCACAACUGAUAUUGGUUUGAAGUUUGAGAGGGAUGAUAGACUCGAGCAAAAUUUAGUUGGUUAUGUGGAUUCGGAUUAUGCUGGUGACUUAGACAAGCGUCGUUCCACAACAGGCUAUGUGUUUACACUUGCUAAAGGGCCUGUAAGUUGGAGGUCAACUUUACAAUCAACAGUAGCUUUGUCAACAACUGAGGCAGAGUACAUGGCAGUAACAGAAGCUUUCAAGGAAGCUAUUUGGUUACAUGGGUUGAUUGAAGAUUUGGGAAUUGUUCAAGAGCACGUGGAUGUCCAUUGUGAUAGUCAAAGUGCUAUUUGUCUUGCAAAGAAUCAGGUUCAUCAUUCCCGCACCAAGCACAUCGAUGUUCGAUUUCAUUUUGUUCGAGAAAUUGUGGAUGAAGGGGAUAUUCUGCUACAGAAAAUUGUACUAUAGAUAAUCCAGCUGACAUGCUCACAAAAUGUGUCUCAGGGAUCAAGUUCCAACAUUGUUUGGACUUGGUCAACAUCUCUCGGUGUUGAGCACCUUCAGGGUGCAAUGCCAUAUGGCGCAAUGGAGGCGGCAUUGAUUAAUCACGAGUAUUGGAUGGAAAAAUCUUGCAAAGGUGGAGAUUUGUAGCAAAUUGUCAACAUUUGAAAAUUGUCAACAUUUUUCUCAACAACCCUCUCCUUUACUCAACCACUAUCAACCACCCUCUCCUUCUUUUUGACCAUUAUCACUUCUCAUCAAGGUGCUGCCAAAGCUCUCCUAUAAAGACAGAGACGAGAGAGUGCAGGGUAGAAGAGAGGAAGUGUCAAGUGCAGAGGAAGUGUGGUGAGUGCAAGUGAGUGCAACUGUGAGAGUGAAAAAUACAGAUUUGAGAGAAACACAGAGUGUUAGAGUGAAACACUGGGUUUUGUGGGGAUUGUAUUGGGGUUGAGUUGAGUGUUUGUAUUAUUCCUCCAAUAAUAUACAAUCUGUUGUCUCCGUGGACGUACCCGGUUUUGGGAAACCACGUAAAUCUGUUGUUUGUGUUUUAUUUGUGUUUGCUUUCGGUCCAGUAUACACAACACACGUUUCUACACUAACGGAGUGUAAGCACCUGUAAUCUGGUUAAUGUCAUCAUCCAAUUUGGCCAUUCCAACCCUCCGUAACUCCAUAUGAUUAGAUUUUCCAAGUCUGACGGAGGCUGUAAAGCUUCAAUUAAAAUGCCGUUCUCCUGGUUGUAGUAGAAAUCCAAUUCCAAACGAAGCAGGCGCUUCUUAUUCUUGAGUUGUGCUUCUGCAGCGUCACUCGCAUCUUCUUUACCUCCUCCUAGAUUACUUAUAAUAAGACUCCCUCCAAUGUGAUUUAAGUUUUUUAAUUCUCUUAGAUUAGCUGCUUUACUUUCAUUCUCACCACCAGCACACACAGUAAACACAUCUAAUGUUCGAAGACAUGUUAUCCUCUCUAUUCCCUUUGGUAUGAAGGCCACACCUGAAUCAUAAAUCCGGAGAUGCCUCAAUUUGAUAAGUUUUCCAAUCGCCUUGGGCAAUUCCUUGAGAGACCGACACCAAGUAACGUCUAGGGAUUGCAGAUUGCAUAAAUCACACAUGGUUUCUGGCAGGGACUCCAACUCUCCACACCAUGCCAAAUUGAGGUGUCUCAAAUGUAUCAAUUUCCCUACCUCGUUUGGUAUUUCUUUGAUUGAAGACCUUGUCAAAUUCAAUGACCUGAUGCAUGUCAACUGUUUGAACAAAUCAGGCAGUGCAGCUCCAAGCGAAGGGUCUCUAGUGCCGAUCAAGAGGCUGCGAAGACCUUUUGCUUUGUGAAUGGACUUGGGAAAAGAGCUCUCCUCUGACAGCAUCAUGCUUAAAUGACGAACCCUUUCAAUUGAAGUCUCCAUUGUUGCUUCUCCAAGUUUACUGGCAUCCACUGUUAGACAUUCAUUUUUUGUCAUAUAUUGGGCAAAAUCAUGCACUAUAUCAUGCAUCUUGAAUUUCAUUCCUUCAAACCAAUGCCUCUCAAAAUCUUGGAAGAAAGAGCGCGCUGCCAAGACUUGAAAGCACUCCUCUCCAACAAGCUCCAUAUCUCCACCUGAAGUCUCCUUGAAGUAACCUUGAGCCAUCCACAUCUUCACCAAUUCAGAUUUUCCCAUCUCGUAGCCUUUUGGAAACAUGGCACAAUACAAGAAACAUCGUCUUACCCUUGCACUUAUUUGCAAUUUUAUCGCUGGUUUCUGUCAAUCUUUCGCACUCAUCUUUGCUUCUUUUAUUGAAUGCCACCUGAAUGAAUAUGGACCUGCAUACCUCAUCAGACAAUCUCUCAAGGAUGAUCAUGUGGUCGGUUCCCAUCAUGGUUGCCACAGAAUGUUUACGAGUGGUCACUAGAAUUCUGCUUCCUGGUGCUCCGCCUUUGAGAGAGUGUUUCAGCGGUUCCCAUUGUCCAUAAUUUUCUGUCCAGACAUCAUCUAGGACAAGAAGGAACCUCUUUCCCUUAAUGGAUUCAGAAACCCUUUGCAAAAGGGAUUGCAAUUCAACCAAAUCCGGUGCCCUCCCUUCAAGCUGCUCGAGGAUAGCUUUGCCUAUCCUAACCUCAUCAAAUGGAUCUGAAACACACACCCAUAUCUUCUCAAAAUGAGCCGUAACCUCAGCAUCAUUAAAAGCUAGUUGGGCGAGAGUUGUCUUUCCAAUCCCGCCCAUCCCUACUAUAGAGAUGACCUCUACGUCCCCUGCUUCCUGAAUACUUUCGCCCAGCAACUUGCUUACUACAGCUUCCCUUUCAUCAUCUCGACCAGUCACGAUUGAUUCAUCAACAAGGGAGGUACUUGUUAUUCGUUGGAGUUCAUCAGUGGCUCUGUACGGAUCAAAGCCAUACAUAGCUCUCGCUUUCGCAAUGUCAUCCACUUUUUCACAUACUUCUUUGAUCUUGAGGGCAAUGUCUCGACGUCGAACCACUUGAUUGAGACAAAAGCAAGGAGAUUUCAGGAAGGAACAUCGCAUCUUCUGUAGGCUGCGAGUAUUUUCUUCAGCUUCCUCCAUUUUCCAUGUAAGAAUUGCUGAGCUCCAUUCAUCUAGCACGUCAUCCAUAUCAUAACAUACAUCUUUGAGCUUGUCUACCCAAUCUCUUACAGCCUUAUCCUUCACUUGUUUUCUAUCUGCGUCUUCAAGGAUAGAUUGGAUAACAAUGAGAUUGCUUUUCAGCUUGUCGACUUCGUUUCUUCACACCCCCUACUAGGUUCACCUCUUCAUGUACCUAUUAGGGUAGAAAAGAUCAGAAAGUUCAAGCAGAGGAAACAUUUCUAUGAUUUCAAUACAAGUUUUUUUAUUUUAAUUUUUCGUAAUUAAUAGAUUAAAUAAUUUUUAUUAAUCUUUUUUUUUGCAGUAGUUGACACGUGCUGUGAAAUGGAUUGGCUAUAUUAAUAACUUAUAUAUAAAAUAUUUAUUGAAAACUUAUAUAUUAAAGAUAAUGCUUCUUUUUAUCAUCAUCAUGAUGAUAUCUCUCUGCACUCUGCUACUAUACAAGGAAGAAAAUGAAUCUUAAAUUGUUCCAAUCAAAGAAAUAUAGUGAUUAAAAGGAUCUGUAUUUGUUGGUAUUUGUAAAGUCUAUUUGGAAAUAAAUAUUCUUCCUUUAAAGUGAACUAAUUAUUUUAACAUUUGAUUGAUUAUUUUACCCUUAGCAGUUCAGUUUAAUGAGAGGAUUGACAACUCCUUUUUCCUUCUAAAGAUUAUUUCCAGAAAUAUGAAAAAUAAUAAAACAAUAAAAAUAAAUUUCCUUAAUAAAAUCCAAAUCUAGAUCUGAGUAUUUGAGAUUUUAUUUUAUUUUUAUGGUAGAGGAACAAAAAAAGACUUCAUUUUUAUAUUUCUUAUUCAUGUUAGGUUAAUUGGAUCAUUGCAAAUUGUAGAAAGGCAAUUACCUGUUGAGCAACGAUCCUCGUUAACUGCUCCAGAAUUGGCGAUAAAAGUGCCUCUGCCAUUUGUCUGUUUACUUUUAUUUUAUUUCUUAAAAAAAGAGAGACAAUGAUGAUAGGAUGAACAGAGAGGGAGAGAGAAGAGAGUAUGAGGGGAAGGAGGCUGCUGAUUUAGUUAGUUUAGAGCGGAGAAGCUAAAUGAAUAGCUAAAAAUAAAAAAUUAAUAUUUUAGUUUUUCUUUACUUGUUUUAUACACUCCAAGAAAAAAGUCAAAUAAAAUACUAAAAUACCUUUUUUCUCCCACAAAUGUUAUUCCUAUAUAUCUCUCAAAAGAGCCAAAAUUAAUCAAGUGGGGCCAACAAAAGAAUAAACCAAUUAAAUCUAGCCAUGUGAAAAAAAAAUAACAUCAAAAUCAUUAAAAAAAAUAAAACACUUCUUUAUUCUACUCUAAUAGAAUUGGCUUUUUAAAUGGCUUUUUUUCCAUUAGAAUAUACAUGAUAAAAAAAGUUAUAUUUAUACUAUUCAAAAUGCUAUUUUAUCAAUUUAUCUUUUUAAAAUAGCAUUUUACUUUGGAGAUGUUCUUAUAUGUGCUUAGGGUUUGGUGGUGAGGGUUGACUUUUGUUUCAAUGCCUGCGCUGUUUCUAACAUUUCAAUUCAGUCCCUAUAUUAUUGAACUUUUCAGUCUAGUGUCGGUCAGGGUUUUGUUAACAGGAAAAGGAUUGCAGGGAUGGCUGGUCUGAGUGAUGGAAGCUGGCUGAAGCUGGGGCUGUGUGGAUAUCAGUUAAAUUUUGAUGCAGGCUCUUGAACUAGAAACCAUGUAUUAGUUGUCUCAUAUAGGACACUUUACUAUUACAUUUUGAUGCUGGCUCUUGAACCAUUACCCUCUUCGCUCCAGUUGAGAAGAAUUUUUAAUUUAUAUUCCUGAUGAUCAUCGUUAUGCUAUGUAAUGUAGUGAUUCAAUCGCGCCAUUUCUUAUGUUUAGAAAUCUAUGUUUUGGUAACUUGUCUCUUGUUUUUUUUUUUUUCUUGUUGGGUUGCUCAGGUGCUAUCUACAUUGAUUCUGAUAUCAUAGUUUUGAAUUCAUGGUCUUCACUUAAUAACACGAUUGGUCUGGAGAAUUCUACUGAGAGAUUAUCGCAUUCUACUGAAAUUCCUGAAAUUGAUUAUAGCAUUCUACUGAAAUUCCUGCUUCUCAUCUGUUUCUCCAUUUCUUCUCUUCAUUUAAUGUUUAUCUGGUAUCAGUAGCAUGUGCUGGUCAUGGCAAAAAAGUAUGGAAGGAUUGCUGGUUUGCGUGAAUGGAGCUCCUUUAAAUGGGAGGUUCGUUUGUGAAGGGGAGCAAAUGGGUGUGAAAAGGACAAGAAAUGAGGAAAGAAUUCAUAUUGUCUGGACCACAUCACCUUCCUUUCUUCUUCUUUUUUUUGUUUUCAUUCCUUUUUUAUUGUCUCUUUCUACUUUUUCAUAAUGAAAUUCAGAUCUAAAUUACAGAGGAAAUCAGCAUGCUAGAUUCAGCAGCGUUUGGGGUCAGAAUGCCAUUGUUGGGAAGAAGACAACAAAUUAUGUGUAGCUUAGCAGCCAUUGUUGCUGCUUCAGGAACACCAAACUCCCUUGUCAAAAAACUGGAUCCAUAUGCAUUUUGCAAUUAAGUCAUUAUGCUUUAAACUCAUUCUAUGUGUCUUUCCUUACAAAAAAAAAAAAAAAAAAUGGUUAUUUGCUGUCUUCAAACCCGAGAGUUUCGUUGCGUUCUGUUUCAAUUCAGUCAGUCUUUAUUAGUCAAUGCUUCGUAGAACAGAGGCACCUCAUUGCAGAGUGCGGGUACAAAACUAGUGUUGAGGUGAGGUCAUAUGUCCUACCAAAAUGGAUUUUGAUCAUAAUAAUUAGAAGAAGAAAAAAAAACAACAUUAAUAAUUGAUCAUCGUGGCUACAAAAUGAAGUGGAACUAAUAAUUAAUGGAGUGUAUAUAAUAAUCAUAAUCAUAAUAAUACUAAAUAAAAUGAAUUACUAUGUGUAUUCUAUAAUUUAGUUAUAUAAUAUAGCAGAUCUGUACAAAUUAGUAAUUUCAACUUACCAAUAAAAAAAUUAUAGUAGAUUUUUACCGUGGUAUGAUUGCAAUAAAUAAAAUAAAAUAAAUUUACUUCACAGCAUUAAUAAUUUUUUAGUUUUUGUCAAACAAUAUCAACACACAUGUAUAUUAUGCAUUCACUCAUUUUUUUAAAAAUAAUUAUAAUAAAAUUAAUUAGUUAUUUAUUAUAAAAACUAGACCUAUAAGUUAUGUCUAAGCUGUUAAAAAUAAUAAAAAUAAAAUAAUUUAAAGAUAUAAUAUAUUUUAAAUAAAAUUAUUAGUCAAUCUAUAUCGAGUUGUUUUAUCUACUAAAUUAAAAAAUUUAAGUUUUUAUAUCACUUAGAAUACUUAUGUUGAAUUUAAUCCAUAAAAUCGAUGGGUAUCAUCUCUUACAGAUGAAUCGAUGGGUAUCAAGUUACAUGCCAUCUUGCAACUUCGAAUAACAGACCACUCGACUGGCUCCAAAAUCAAACCAUCUCCACCUCAUUCAACACGAUUUAAAAUAAUCAACACCACCUUUUUAUACAAUGUGGGAUUGAUGAGGAUAUAAAUCUACAAACUCCAUCCAAAGUCUCAAUCUUAUAGUGUUCUUAACUAGUAUAGUAACGCCUCAUUGGCAAGAACCCAAAUCACUAAUAAAAAUUACAACUUUACACCGAAUUUGAACAGAUUUCUACGAGCCGAUGUCACUAAACUCAAAUUACUCCUAAAAAUCUCAAUAUAAACCCAUUAACUACUAGACCAACACCUCAUUGGCUAGAAUCCACGUUGCUUUUCCACAACAAUCAUCAGCUUCUUCAAUUAGGAUGCUACAAGCCCUUGUCUAUAUACUAGCUUAAAUUGCGACAACCUUUGAUUCCGAGAGAAGUUUGGCCUGAUCCAACGGCAGUCAAUGCGUGCUCAAUCUGUACUAGCUUUCCGGUAGGACUGAAAGUAGUGAGAGAAAAGGAGUACUGGCGACCCAUGGUUUAAUGCUUCAACACGCAGAGAGGAAAAACUGAGAAUGCGAGCGUGUGGGAGAGAAAGAAAGGGAUAUUUACUUGGGGUCUUAACUCUGCUUUUCUUGUUGGAGAAGAAGGUGUUUUCUUACGAGGGCUUUUACAAUGGAGUAUUUUGGGCUUUUAUAACGGCAGCUUGGUUCUCUUUACAUUGAGCUCAAUGUUUUUCCCAGAAAUCUGCCCUUCAAAUCUGCAAACACAAACAAUCUUGUAAGGGUACAAGGGAAGCACUCAGAACUUGUAAGAAACUUUAAAAUGCUCAUUUAUAUCUCUCUUUGACCACUUUGCAAAAACUAAGAUUAUGCUCACUAGUCCACCAUCACUCUGAUUAUAGAAGCAAGACUCGACAAUUUAACAACUUAAAAUCACUAAGAGGAAAGAAAAGGAACCUUCAAGCACCUGCAAGUACAUUUGAUUGACACUGGGUUGAGAAACUUUCAUUCAUUUUCACUUAAACAGUAUCUCACAUAAUUUAAUCUCCUGAACUACUAACUAAAGUGUUGAGAGCCAAUUUUGACAUAGGUAAUAAGUUGCACAAGUUAGUAAGAAGUGGCUCAUUGAGCAACCAAAUUGCCAAGAUGUCUUAUUUCAAACCCAAGAACAGAGGAAUGCCUUAUUUUUAUUUUUCUAAGGAACUACAUAUUUGCCCCCCUCUUUUUUUCAGUUGAAACAGAAACAGGGUACAUGUACAACGUGUUAAAGUCAAGUCCAUAACCAGACCAAUUAAGAACAUUGACCUACAAGGAGUUCCACUGAAGUUCAGAUUAUAAGCAGGCAUGCUUCUAUCUCAAUUUACCACCCCGGGUCAAAUUUCACACUUAUCAGGACACUAUAACAACAGCAGAAACUUUACAAUUUCCCACCAAACAUAAAGAGAGCUUUGAAUCUACACACCCGCCUGCUACAAUCAUUCAUGACAGAUAUUUUAGCAAAAUUAAGGCCAGAGAAACACAAGCUAAAAAAAUGGAACUUCCUAAUUACUGAGAAGCAGGCAGAAACAAACCUGUAGACAACUCCAAUAUUGGGUGUCAGAUUCUGUAUUUUCUGAACCUGAAACAGGAAGCAAUUAAAUACCAUCAACAACCAACUCAAGUUACAUCCCAUCUUGCAAAUUAGAAUAAUAGACCAAUCAACUGGCUCCAAAAUCAAACCAUCUCCACCUCAUUCAACACGAUUUAAAAUAACCAACACUACCUUUUUAUACAAAGUGGGAUUGAUGAGGAUAUAAAUCUACACACUCCAACAUUCAAAGUCCCAAUCUUAGAGUCAUUGACUAGUAUAGUAACGCCUCAUUGGCAAGAACCCAAAUCACUAAGCUCAAAUUACUAAUAAAAAUUACAAAUUUACACCGAAUUUGAACAGAUUUCUACCAACCGAUGUCACUAAAGAAAACGCAAAAAAAAAAAACGCAAAAAAACAAAAGGGCUUCUUGAAUUUAAACCAAAGAAUAUAACAAAACCAAUAAAAAAAUAAUAAAUGUUUACUUACAGAAGAUUCAUCGACUAAAAUAGAUGGCAAUUUCUUCUCAGUUGCAACAACAACACCGCUUGCCGCUACAACACCAAAAAAAUAAUAAAAUCAAACAACAUGGUAUCUAAGCACCCAUCAACAACAGUAGUGCAUUCGAAAAUGACAAGAAAAUGAGAAAACAAGAGAGAGAGGAGCUUAAAUUGCAACAACCUUUGAUUCCGAGAGAAGUUUGGCCUGAUCCAACGGCAGUCAAUGCGUGCUCAAAUCUGUACUAGCUUUCCGGUAGGACUGAAAGUAGUGAGAGAAAAGGAGUACUGGCUAUCACCCAUGGUUUAUUGCUUAAGACGCAGAGAGGAAAAACUGAGAAUGCGAGUGUGUGGGAGAGAAAGACAGGGAUAUUUACUUGGGGUUUUAACUUUGCUUUUCUCGUUGGAGAAGAAGGUGUUUUCUUACGAGGGCUUUUACAAUGGAGUAUUAUGGGCUUUUAUGACGGCAGGUUGAUCCUCUGUACAUUGAGCUCAAUGAAGGCUCGGGACCAGUUUUGUUUUCAAGUAUUAUUAACAAAUAUUUAUUUAUUUAUUAAUAUACAUAAUUUUUAAUUUAUUUAAUAACAUUUAUAUAUAUAAUUUUUAAUUUAUUAUAUUUUUUGAACUAGAAAAAAUAAUUUUCCAGAUCGUGAUGUAUAUUUCUCACAUUGUUUAAAGAAGCUAAUUUAACAUUUUUGUUUAGUAAACUAAAUAUUCAACAACUUGGGCGACAAAUAUCUGGUUGCAGCGUGCAGAGAGUAAAAACAAAAUAACUCCCACAAAACCGUUGACCCAUUUUAGACAUGAAGCCAUAGUGUUGUUCGGGGCCCAGCACCGUAAGAGGAAGGCUCCCUCUAAAUUAUAAUUUGGCCCCCUUAAUUUUUUUUCCUUGCUCCGCCCCUGCAUGGAGGGUGGUGAGUUUUGGAUCUAUAAUUAUGCUCUCCAGCGUUUUAUUCAUUGGCUUGGACAGCCUGGCUAACAAUAAUAGCAUAACCACUGCAACAGUGGUUUACAAAUGAUACAUACCUCUUCAGCUUGCUUCCCUCAUUUAUUUGGAUUGAAUCCACUGAAACUGAGGUUUAAGAAUUUCUUGGAUUUAAUCCACUGAAACAGUUGCUUGAUCAAGAUCAUUGGCUUGUUUGAAGGCAGAUAAAGGCUUAAAAAAAAAAAAAAAGCGAAAGCAAGAAAAGGAGGAUGUGAGAAAUAAUUAUAGAUAUGAGUUCCAGUAGUUGAAACAUAUGAAUUACAUAUCAUUUUAUGUUGAGAGAGAAAGAGAGAGAGAGAGAGAGAGGAUGAGAGAGAGGUAUAUCACAGCUGCAUUUGAUAGACUAAAUGGUAAGUAGGAAAUAAAAUCGAAUUACAGUAAAAAGGUCACAUUGAAUGAAAUCCUCCAUGUAAGUAAAAAAGGUCCACAGAGUAAAUGGUAAGAAUUAACACCAAAGCAAAUAACUAACACUCAGAACCAAAUCUUUUACCGUUAAGAAUUAACACUGGUAGAAGAAUUUACCUCUUCCUGCUGGUUCUAAAGACUAAAGAAUUUACCUAUAUAGCAUCAAAAUUAAUCUUUGGGAUGUGAGAAAUCUUUUGCCAAUCUUCACCCAUCUCCUCUUUCCCGUAAUGUUUCCUUAGAUUGGGGCAUCUACAUAUAUUUAAUUCCUGUAGAGGCGCUGCCAAAACAUAGUCUGGUAGUGCUCUCAACAACGGGCACUGGUUAAUUCCCAAAUAUUGAAGUUGUGGCAUAAUGGAUAUUAUUGAAGUUGUGUUGGCAUCUUCUUCUCCCACUCUCCUUCCAAUUCCUUCCCACUCUUCUACUUCUUUGAGGAAAAAAAUGCCAAGUUUUUUUAAUUUGGGGAAAGCAGUGACCCUUGCAAUUUCUCCUUCAUUAAUACUGGCAUUCUCAUCUUUUUCUAUACCUAAAAAUCCAGCAUCCAACCUUCUCACCUUCAACGAGCUCAAUACCAGGAUUUCAAGGUUGGGCAAUCUCCCCAACGGAGGCAAGACCUCCGCGUUUUCGCCAAAAUCAAGUCUAAGCUCCUGUAAUCUGGUUAAUGUCAUCAUCCAAUUUGGCAAAUCCAACCCUCCGUACCUAGAUAUGGUUAGAUUUUCCAAGCCUGACGGAGGCCGUAAAGCUUCAAUUAAAGAGCCUUCAUUCAUUUGCAACUCUGUUUUCUCUCUGUCGAAAUCCAAUUCCAAACGAAGCAGGCUCUUCUUAUUCUUGAGUUGUGCUUCUGCAGCGUCACUCGCAUCUUCUUUACCUCCUCCUAGAUUCCGUAUACGAAGACUCCCUCCAAUGUGAUUCAAGUCUUUUAAUUCUCUUAGAUUAGCUGCUUUACUUUCAUUCUCACCACCACCACACACAGUAAACACAUCUAAUGUUCGAAGACAUGUUAUCCUCUCUAUUCCCUUUGGUAUGAAGGCCACACCUGAACGAUAAAUCCGGAGAUGCCUCAAUUUGAUAAGUUUUCCAAUCGCCUUGGGCAAUUCCUUGAGAGACCGACACCAAGUAACAUCUAGGGAUUGCAGAUUGCAUAAAUCACACGUGGUUUCUGGCAGGGACUCCAACUUUCCACACCAUGCCAAAUUGAGGUGUCUCAAAUGUAUCAAUUUCCCUACCUCGUUUGGUAUUUCUUUGAUAGAAGACUCUGACAAAUUCAAUGACCUGAUGCAUGUCAACUGCUUGAAUAAAUCAGGUAGUGCAGCUCCAAGCGAAGGGUCUCUAGUGUGGAUCAAGAGGCUGCGAAGACCUUUUGCUUUGUGAAUGGACACGGGAAAAGAGGUCUCGUUGGCCAACAUCAUGCUUAAAUGACGAACCCUUUCAAUUGAAGUCUCCACUGUUGCUUCUCCAAGGUAUUGACAUCCACUGUUAGACAUUCAUUUUUUGUCAUAUAUUGGGCAAAAUCAUGCACUAUAUCAUGCAUCUUGAAUCUGAUAAUUUCUAGACCAUACUUCUUACAAUCUUGGAAGAAAGAGCGUGCUACCAAGACUUGAAAGCACUCCUCUCCAACAAGCUCCAUAUCUCCACCUGAAGUCUCCUUGAGGUAACCUUGAGCCAUCCACAUCUUCACCAAUUCAUAUUUUCUCAUCUCGUAGUCUUUUGGAAACAUGGCACAAUACAAGAAACAUCGUCUUACCACAGAAGGUAAAUCGUAGUAACUCAAAAGCAAAGGUGGAAAUAGUCCUCUUUCAACAUGUUCUAGCUCCCACAGUUCGCUAGAUAAAACAUGUUCCCACUCUUCUCUUGUUCUUUUAGACUGCAUUAGACCUCCUAAUACCUUGGCAGCUAGAGGCAAGCCCUUGCAAUUGCUUGCAAUUUUGCCGCCUAUUUCUGUCAAUCUUUCGCGCUCAUCUUUGCUUCUUUUAUGGAAUGCCAACUGAUUGAAUAUUGACAUGCAUACCUCAUCAGACAAUUUCUCAAG
rnacentral:lncRNA from 1 species